UGGCAUUCGCAAACGCAACAUUGAGCGCGUCCAAACGGUGCUUGAGCACGUCGGGGAAGCGGAGUAUUAGCGGGAACUGGAGAUUCUUCGUAGUUAUCGCUUUCUUCACCGCGGCGAGGAGGUCAAUCUCCUGCGUGGGGUUGGUCUCGACGCCGUGAAUCUUAACGGAGACGUUGCCGCUAGAGUUAACGGCGAAGUAAGGGUCGCCCCAUCCCGCAAUAUUGUAGAGGUAACCAUAGUUGGUCGACAUUAUUAAAUGCCUCUCCUCCCUACACAAAUUAAGAGUUCGCUAAUAAAAUCUGGGGUUUAGUUUCGUGGUGAGUAGGGCAUGAAAAGGGUGCGCGAUGGGGGGUUUAUAUAGGCGGUCGAAGGACACCAACUGGCGAGCUAAUUUUUCUUGCUUUUAUUAAUUGUCGACGGUCGAGAUCUCUCUCUCUGUGUAUUUGUAACAGGUUGAACGGAUGGUAUGCUUUUUGGGCUGUGUUGUGGGGCCCGCUUCAAUUACAAUCAAGUUGCCGCGCAAUAGUGGCGGGAGAAAAGGACAGCUGUACAAUGGUGUUUACUAGUUUUUCUUUUCUUUUUUUUUUUUCGGUUUUUUGUAAAAGAAUAAAAUUAUAUUCAUUGAAUUUGCUACGAUUAUCUUAGUGUUGCUCAGAAAAAAUUUUGAUUGUAACGGAUCAAUCACGUAAAAUAUACUUUAAAUCAACUAUAUUAUAGUGUAUAAAAAAUAAAAUUUUAAAAAAUAUUUGCUCUUAUAUUUUUAUACAAUAUUCAAUUAUUCGAAUCAAUGCUGUUAUUUUAGUAUACAAUAAUUAAAACAGAAAAGAUAUCCCAUGGUCUCACAAUAGUUCUCAGAUUCGACUCGUGUUACAAAGAGAGUUACUAUAUUAUGUGAUAUUUUAAAAAUUAAUAAUAUUUUAUUAAUUUAGUUAAAUUAACUCAAGAAUGUUGACUAAUAUUACGAGAGAAUAAAGAUCUUCCUACUAUCAAUUACGUACUACCAUUAAAUUACAAAGCAUCAAUUACAACUUCAAAUCAAAAAAUAACUUUUUGGUACAAAAAAUUAAUUUAGAAUAAUUUAAUUUGUUGGCCGGGAAUGAAAGACCGAUUAAAUUUUUUUUGGAGAGAUAAGUAGCACGUUGCCUGCUUCGUUUAUUUUAUUCAGAAAUAAACUUAGCUGGAAAUAUCAAUCAGCUAGGAUUCGAACUUGAGUCUCAGGUACCAACCACUAAACUCUUUGCCACUUGCUCCAGAAACGGCCGGUAAAGACCAAUUAAUUGAAUGGAGGUUAUCUAGUUUUUCUACUAAUUAUAAUUACAAGUUUAUAACUCAUGUGGUUAUUUUUCUAUUAAAAUUUUUCUCAUUUUGGACUGUGGUGAUGAACAGCUAGCUUGUCUUUUGAGAGUUGAUUUUUUGUUUUUUUCUGUUUUUUUCCCCUCUCAACAAACAUAAAUCUCACUUUCUUUAUUAAUUAGUCUCUAAAUAAUUCUGAGUGCACAAGAGUACGUUGUCGUACCCACUAUGAUAUUUCAUUUUGCAAAUCAUUUUCCAAUCAUAAUAUACAUGGUAGCAAAGCUAGUCCAAGUAUUCAAUUUUGUGAGAAAACAGUAAUUAAGUUUCUUUAAUUGGGUUGACUUUGUGAGAAAACAGUAAUUAAGUUUCUUUAAUUGGGUUGAAAGGUGCAAGAACAACUGUGCAUUCAAGCAUAUAAUCGUAUGACAAUGAUGCUUAUCCGUGCAAUUUAUUUCUUUGUUCCCCCAACGUGGGUAGCCCCUCAUUUGAGUUAUGAUGAAUAAGAUCUUGUCUAGAUAUCAAAAUACGGAAUUCAAUAAUAAUUUAUCCCAUAUAAAAAUGUAUUAGUAUAAUUGUAAGUAAGCUGCUUCUUCAAAGGUCAUGCCUACGUACUUGGUAUGAUAACGUAUUUUACUUACGAGAUAAUUUAUCUAUCUUAUCCAAAAAAUGACUUGAUGGUUGAAUAUAACAUUUAAUUCUAAAUAUUUAGUCAUACUUCUUAUCAAUUAAACUUGCAAAUUUCUUGAAUAAAAUAAAAGAAUAUACUGAACUUGAUGGGUGGGGUUUUGAUUUUUUUUUCUUUUUUUUUUUUUAUUCAGGUUUGUUUCGUGUUUUUAGCUGUUAUACUGAUUCGGGUUCAGGUGUGGUUUCAGAUUUUAAUUUUUUAUUCGAAUUUGGUUUAGGGCUUUGCAAAUUUUUAAGUAUUAAAAUGUGUAUUUGAUAGGUCAUAGAAAGAUAAGAAUAGCAUUUAUCAUAUGUUUUGUAUCAUGCACCCAUUUUGUGAGAUUUUGACGGAAUGUUAUCGAAAGGAUAUUCGUGAGAAUUUCUUGAGUUUAAAAAGGCAUUUAUGAUAUUUUUUAAGUUUAGAAAACUAUUGAUGAAACUUUAAUCUCCUACAAAUUUAUUGUGAUAUUUUGCCUAUGUAUAUUAGGGCACCUAUAAUAUUUUAUUUUAUUUUUUUACAAAUUACAAUCUUUUAAGAGGGCAUUAAAUAAAUUGAUUUUUUUUCUUUAGGAGGCCAUUUUCCUUUGUAGGGCCAAAACGUGUUCCACACAAAGANCGACCCGCGCCGUCGCCGCCAUCCGCUCCGGCGGCCGGAAGAGGAAAAGAAAGAAAAGGGGAAGAGGAAAACUUUUGGAGGGAUAUAUUUGUGAGGGUAAAAUGGUCAUUUCACGACUUCGCUAUUAAAAAACAAACAGCUCACUAACGGAUGUUAACUGCAGGGACAUAUCUGCAUAACUUGGGACUUUUGCAGGGACAACUUAUGGAGUUUCGAUUUUGCAGGGAUAUAUCCGCAAUUGGCUAUGUUUGCAGGGAGCUGUAUGCAUUUGACCCUUAAUAUUAAUACACAAUAUUCACCGAAACUGGACUUUGGGUUGAACUGGAGUUCAGUGAAAACGACUUCUUCCCCACUGUUUGUUUCGAGUUCGGUGAAAACGACUUCUUUCCCGCUGUUUGUUUCGAGUUCGGUGAAAACUACUUCUUCUCCGCUGUUUGUUUUGUAGUUAUAAAAGUGAAGUUUCAUCAGUUCUGCUGUUUGUUUGAUAGAAAGUGUAUAGUAUAAAACUAUAAUUUAUAUAUAAAUAAUAAAUAUUUUAAUAAAUAAAAAUAAUAUAAUUAUAUUUUUAUAUAAUUAAAAUUUAAUUUAAAACAACUAAAUUAUUUUUUUAUACAUAAAUUAUACUAAUACAAUAAUAAAAUUAUAAAGUAAAAAAAUAUUAAUACUUAAUUAAUUAAUUUUUAUCAUAUUUUAAAGGGUCAAAUGCAUACAGCUCCCUGCAAACAUAGCCAAUUGCGGAUAUAUCACUGCAAAAUCGAAACUCCAUAAGUUGUCCCUGCAAAAGUCCCAAGUUAUGCAGAUAUGUCCCUGCAGUUACCAUCUGUUAGUGAGCUGUUUGUUUUUUAACAGCGAAGUCGUGAAAUGACCAUUUUACCCUCACAAAUAUAUCCCUCCAAAAGUUUUCCUCUUCCCUUUCUCUUUCUUUUCCUUUUCGGACCGUCGAAGCAGACGACGGCGGCGGCGGCGCGGGGUCAGGUUCGCCGGCGACGAAGAAAAUGCAAGAACGCCGAGCACCGGAGCUCUACUCGGAGCUCGUCGCCCUCAACGCCGUCCCCUCCCUCGUCGGCCUCCUCGACCACGACAUCGCCGACAUCGCCGGCGACGUCGUCUCCCUCCUCACCGACCUCACCGACGCCGACAUCCUCGGUGACCACGACAACCCCGCACACGCCCUCGUCGCCAACAACGCCCUCGAGCUUCUCGUCUAGAAACUCGCCCGCCUUUCCUCCGAGACCGACCCCGACGAGAUUCUUCUCCCUCGCCGGUGACGAAGAAGAGGGAAGAGGAAGAAGGAAGAAGGAAGAAGGAAGAAGAAAGAAGGGAGAAAAAGGGAGAAGAGGAAGAGGGAAGAGGAAAAGGAAGAGGGUUCGCCACCGUCGUCGCCAUAUCUCCUCGCCGACGACGAAGUAGAAGGAAGAGGAAGAGGAGGAAGAGGAAGAAGGGUAAAUACGUCAAUUCACACUAUAAUUAACCAUGGUUAAGUAUUUUAAUCAUGGUUAACGAAAAUUUUCAAACAGAUCUGGACGGUAGGGACAUAUCUGCAUAACUUAGGACUUUUGUAGGGAUAACUUAUGGAGUUUCUAAUUUGCAGAGAUAUAUCCGCAAUUUACUAUGUUUGGAGGGACGUGUAUGCAAAUAACCCUAUUUUAAAUGUACAAACUAAAUAAAAAAAUAUUAAAACUUAACUAAUCAAUUUUUAUCAUAUUUUAGCUAUAUUAACUGAAUAAAAAAAUAAUUAGUAACAUAAUUAAAUAUAUUUAAAUAUAACUAGCUUUAUCUAUUAUAUUAUUUUAUUAUUUUUUUCACCUCUCUUUACCGUAAUUGACUUCGGCCUACGAUGGGACGAAGUCAAUUACGCCAUUUGAGGUUAACUCGAGUUUCGACAGUAACUUUUUUACGGCAAACCAAACAACGAAAGUGGUUGUUUAGGGCGAAAACAACUUCCCUUCUAUCCACUUCCACCCAAAUAAACAUUAAAUUAAUGUCUUCGUACACGUGUACCAAUAAUAUUUUAUAAUUCUAAAAAACAUUUGUAAAAUUACAACUUUUAAGAAUGCAUUAAAAGUAUCAAUUUUUUCUUUUUGGUGGUCAUAAUCCAUCAUAGGUUCAAAACGUGUUACACAUUAAGCCGAUUGGAAGAGAGCACGAAUCGAUAGUAGGGACAGGGCUUUAAUACGCCUCGCUUAGGGAGUUUUCAAUAUGUUGUCAGCUAUUAAUUUUAUUUCCGUCCAAUAAUUAGUUAGAUAUUUUUUAAAAAAUAUAGAAAAAAUUAAAUUCUAGAUAAAUGGAUUAUAAGCUUUGAAUAUAAUGUACACUAGUGAAGAGGUCCGCGCUUCGCAGCGGAUAGAAACUGUAAUAGUAAUUAAUAAUAAUAAAAUAUUAAAUAUUUUUUUUUGUAUCUCACUUGUUACAUCUAUCAAAAGUCUCUUACUAUAGGUAGCAAAUAUAUAUGAACCCAACGAUGGAGAAAGAGAGAGAGUAAAAUGGCUUAUUUUAAAUAAAAAUUAAAUGGGAGAAAUGAAGAGACGUAUGUUGAGAGAGAGAGAAUAAAAUGGGGGAGAUGAGGAGACGUAUGUUGAGAGAGAGAGAGUAAAAUGGCUCAUUCUAAAUAAAAAUUGAAUAGGAGAGAUGAAGAGAGAUAUGCUAAGAGAGAGAGUAAAAUGGCUUAUUCUAAAUAAAAAUUAAAUGGGGGAGAUAAAAGACGUAUAUUGAGAGGAGAGAAUAAAAUGGCUCAUUCUAAAUAAAAAAAAAAAAAUUCAAAUUAGGAGGUUAUGACAAAUCAGCUUAAAGCAUUGGGGAUUUAUAAAUUAGGAUUUCUUAACGCGACAUUAUUGGAGGGCUCUGCAUUGAAUUUUUUUCUCCAUAUGUCUGUUCAAAAUGUGUUACACAAUAUGUUGGAAAAGAGUAUGAAAAUUUUGGCACUUAGCGCACAUCAAUACAUCAUAUCUAAAACGACCGCAUGAGGUGGGGACGAGAAGUAAACACAACCUAAAAUGGUCCAAGGGUUUAGGAACGGGAAUUAAACACCCCCCUAUGGAAGAAUAUUUGCCACGAGGCGUCACCUUAGACCAACCAUUAUUAAUUAUUUUUUUAGGAAAAAAAUACACAUUUAUCAACGAGCAAGUUCCUAAUUAGACAACUAUGCUAGAUAUGAUCCGUGACUAUUGUAAUUAAGAUAUGCUAAGUCUACAAUAAAAAAUUAGUAAUAAUUUUUAGUACUCUUGAUGUAAUAAUUAUUUACAUUAGCAUAAGAAGAAAAAUAAUUUAAAAAGUACGAAGCCAAAAGAAUAUUAUUAAUUAGAGGAUUAGCUUUAAAAUGACUUAUGAUUGAAGAGUUCCUUUUCACUUUUCCACCUAAAUUAUUAUUCAGCACUUAAUUAUUAUUCAAUGUGAAGUUUGUUCGAAGUAUUUAAGGGCGUGUUUGGCCUAUAGCUUUUAGAAAACGGUAUUAGAGUCAAAAAUUAUUUUUCUUUCAAUAGAGCAUUUGGUAAACUUUUUCAUAAUCUGAUUCUCUUAUUUUUAUGAUUAGAUUUUUGAUAUUAGCAUCUCCAAAAUCAGAAGUAUAACCACGUCACGCCCUGCACCAAUUUCUUCAGCAUGCUUUAUUUUGUUCCAUAUUUUUAUGGAUCUUGUAUUAAAAAAAAAAAUUUUAAAUUUAAUGGACAAGGAAGAUUAAUGCAGAGAUUAAGACACAGGAUUGAAAGGGAACGGGGCACCAGCCUAGUGCACCUCACAUAGGCAAUAAAUGACUUCAAAAAUUUGCGAUUGCUUAAUUUUACAUAAUAAUUUUCUGAAUGCCUUUUUACUAAAUUAUAAUUUUAUCAAUUUUUUUUUUUUAAUACCACCAGUGUCUUUAUAAAUAUCAAAAUUAUUUUCAAACAUUCCUAAUAGAAAAGCUCGAUUUAACUUAGAUGAAUUGUUUCUAAAAUUUAUUUUUACCUCCCGAUGAGCUAAAAACUUAGUAAACUCAUUAUUAGAUGAGUAAUUUCCAUAAAGUACGUAGUACGCUUUUCUAAAAUAUUUAAUAAAAUAAAAAUGAUAGAUCGUACACUUAAUAAGGAAUAAAAAAAAUUAUGCUAUAAUAAGUUAUAAAAUAAGAGAAUAAAUCCUAAACAAAAAUAUUAAAAAAUGAAUUUGUAUUAAAAAAUAAAAUAAGAGAGGUACACAUGUACUUAUUGUAGAUUUUGAAAAGGUGCUUAAUUAUCAAAUUUCAAAAUAUUGGAAGGAUAGAUUUGAAAUUGCCCUAAUUUUACAAAACCAAUGACCUUAUUACCAGCAAAAGUUUGAACUGCCGACUUUACCAUUUUUGAAUUAACAGAUGAAUGUGCUUCUUCCUUUUUUUAAAAGCAAGGAUGGAACCAAAUCGCACAACUUUUAACAAAAAGUAAUUCUCUAAAUCGGAACCACCUCAACAAAAAUUAUUUCUAAAAAGCUAGACCAAACAGACACAAAAUGCCGUAUAUGAUGCACGAUUACGUUGUCGGUUCUUUGAAAAGGAAUGCUCCAAAUCAGUAUGGCAUUCAAUAAAUUCCAUAGACAACAGUGGUCUCAUUGCAACAGUGAAUUAAUGGUGGUACAGCCAAAAUAAAACGUGGCCUAAUGGGAUAUAUUGUAGGCCCCCGACAACUGCAACACUUUUCUUUCAACAAAAAAAAAAAGAGAAGAAAAUAGCGAACUGCAAAUGAACUAAGUUCAAGGGAGAAGUAAGGCCUCUGGAUCUAAACAAAAUAAAACUUGGCAUGCAUUUUGGUUUUUUAAGACAAAAAAAAUGCCAUAUCUAUUUUCAUUUUUCAGGAAAUAUUUAGAAGUAUAUAUUCUUAUUUUUCGUAGUUAUGAGAUAAAAAAUAUCCGUAUUGUUACUUUUGAAAACAUCAUUUUUAACAGAAUUUAUCAUACUGUCUUAAUUAAACCCUUUCUCAUUUCACAUGACAUAAUGCAUUAAUUACCUCGAAAUAUAUCCUAUAUGGUUAACUGUUACAGUGAAAAAAAUUUCACAGUUAAUGGACUCAGUAGAAGUCGUCAGAUUGUAACUUGAUUGUAUCAAGUGCUUUAAAGUUCGCAUAAAAUUUCGAAUAAAUAUUUAUAUAUAAAUUGUCUCAUGGGUGAUAGGACAUGGCCAGGUAAUUCCUUUUCCCCAUUAUAUCAGAUAAAUUGGCAAACCAAAUUUGUAGACGAGAAUUAUUCUCAUCAUCAUCGAUAUUGUUGGGUUAGUAAUAUCAAAUUCACUUAUUUGCCUAAUUGAUUUUAUUUUGGAUUUGAUUCAACAACUCAUGUAAUAAUUGGUUUGGGCUUCAGUUGACCCAUUUGGUAUGUUGGGCCAAGUGAUGUUAAAAGAGAUUCUCUUUGGGUUUAAAAAGAGAGAGUUCUCAUUUAUUUUGCUCUCUAGGUUUUUCUUUUCAUUUCUUGAGAUAGAGAAGAGAGGUGUAGAGAGGGUUGGAGAAAGAGCUCUCUUGUUCUUCUUGCUUGAUUCAAAAACUUUCAAGUUUGAUUGAAGGAAUUCUAAGAGACAUUUCGAAGCGGGUUUCGUAGAUUCGGAAGGUGCUUAGAUGAAGGUGUAGCAACAAAGGAUUUUUCCAAUUAGAAGGUUGCAAGCUUAUUGUAAUAGAGUGGUAAUCUCUAAUCAAAUCUUGUAAUCUCCUCAUUUGAUAGUGGAUUUGAUCUCUCCGUACCUGUGGAUGUAGUUCGGUUUGGGUGAACCACGUAAAUCUUGUGUUGUUGUUGUGGUUGUGCUUGGAUUUUUCUUUUUCAACUUUAUUUAUUCUAAUCUUGCAUAUCUUGGUUGUGGAUAAUUUAGAUAUAUCACAUUUGUUUACUAGUGUGAUUAGUAUUUUGAUAGUGAGGGUUCCGUUAUUAGCUCACUACACAUAUGAAGCUUACAUAACAACCAUCAACGUUAACGAGCCUCUCAUCUUCCUUAUUCUUAAACAUAUAUAUCAAAAACUCUUGCUUGGACACAAGAAUUAAGUCGGCCUAAGAUGACAAGGCCAUUUUAUUUGAAAUCGGGCCUAACAUAACAGGGCCAGUUUAACAUUUAUUGCAGAUUACAUGCGUAACGUCGGUCGACCUACGUACGCGGCUACGCUUCACCAAAGAGGUAAGGCAUGGUGUAGAACACGCUUUUCACGAUCUUCUGCUCCGUCGGGGUCCAGUGCCCGGCCGCUUCCGCCCGCUUCGCGAUCGCCUGCAUCAUCUCAUCGGGGUCGUGAUGCAUCACUUUCAGCUGAUCCGCUGCAGUGGGCCCGGCCCCCACCACCACCACCCUAAAUCCGCCAAAUCCACCGGCACUCUCCACCCGAACCAAAUUUGGCCCACCAAACAAAUUGUGCUUGCUCCCCAGCGCCUCCUGGUACGCUCCCGCCAGGAACGUGCCGAUAUAGUACCCGCCGCCGUUUUGUUCUAAGGCGUGGAGGGGUAGAGUUUGGGCCCCCCCGAUGAACUUGUCGAUCUUGCCGUCGCUGUCGCAGGUGAGGUCGAUGAGCGUGCCCUUCUGCUUCGGCUCCUCAUUCAGCCGGUGUAUCGGCAGGAUCGGGAACAGCUGCUUGAUCCCCCAGAAGUCCGGCGUGAGCGAGAAGACCGACAGGUUCGCGUGGUAUGCGUAGGUUGAAUCUCCGGCCGCCUCCAACUGCUUCGCCAGACGCCUGCUGAGCUUGAAGAUCUCGAUCCCGUGCUUGUUCAGCUGGUCUGCGUGUGCUAAGGAAGCAUUAUUGUUGCCGUCCUCUGACUGGACGGCGGAUUUGAUGUUAGCAUGAAGCGUCGUCGGGUUUCCAACGAGCUCGUCGAGGCGGCUGAUUAAUUCAUCGGAUGUGACCGAGUCACUGGGUUCCUCCACGGCCACCAGCGCAUCAUAGAUCAGGAUCGAGUGGUGGGACACGAGGGCACGACCGCUCUCGCUGCAGAGAACCGGAUGCGCCACACCAUUCUGGUUGCACACGAGCUUCGCCGCCUGCACCACCGCUGACGCAUAUUCUUCCAAGCCGUACGCCACCGACAUGUCCGAGGACCCCGAUCGUGUCCCGUCAUAGUCGAUCCCGAGGCCCCCGCCGAUGUCGAGGGUGCCCAUCGGUGCCCCCAUCUUCACCAGGUGGCAGUAGUACCUGUUCAAUAUAAAAAUAUUAAAGUACUGCCAUAUAAUAGUUUAAGCUUUUGGAUAAGAACAUCUAUUUCAUGAUACCCGGUAGCCUCGCGCACUGCACUGCUGAUGAUGGAUGUGGUCGGGAUUUGCGACCCGAUGUGGAAGUGGAGUAGCUUGAGGCAAUCGAGCAUGCCGAGUUGUUUUAGCUUCUCUGCAACGGCAUAGAUUUGGGCCUCCAAGAGCCCGAAUUUGCCGUGCUUGCCCGAGGUGGACCCGAAGUGGCCCGGGUUGGUGGUAAGCAGCCUCGCACGGAUGCCGAGAAUGGGGCGCACGCCGAGCUCUCGGCUCGCCCUCACCACCGUGUCGACCUCCUCCUCCAACUCGAGCACGAUGAUUGUGUUGAAGUUGAUAGAGCGCGCCACGAGGGCGAGGGAGACGUAGUCCAUGUCCUUGUAGCCAUUGCACACCAGGUACGCCUUCGGGCUUCCGUUGAUAAGGCUGUUCAUGGCGAGAAGGAGCUCCGGCUUCGACCCGGCCUCCAGCCCGAAGUUGUAGACCUUCCCAAAACCGACCAGGUCGUCCACCACGUGCUUGUUCUGAUUUACCUGUCGAUCGAAUAUAAAAUAUUAAACACAUCGUUAUGUAGCGACUUAAUCUUUUAAUAUCAUCUCUCUUUUUACAUUAUACCAAUGCUAGCUGACUAAUUCUUAGGUAAUAAUUAUUGAAAAAAUAGUUGUUACGUUAUAAUUUCUCUGUUUCUUAUUUAAUCUCGUUCUGUGUUUCACAGCCAGAAAGGAAAAAGAAAAAAAAAAGAAGAAGAUAUCAGAUCAAGCUAGCCAGUAAGAAUAUUCUGGUUUAAACUUUUAUAGCAUUCUAUUAUUUCAAAGCAAAAUAUUGCUGCACCUUUACGGGGAACACCCCUUGAUAGUGGGAGGUGUAGCCCGUAUACUUAAUGGCAUUCGCAAACGCAGUAUUGAGCGAGUCCAAACGGUGCUUGAGCACGUCGGGGAAGCGGAGAAUGAGCGGGAACUGGAGAUUCUUCUCGGUCGCUUUCUUCACCGCGGCGAGCAGGUCAAUCUCCUGCUCGGGUUUGGUCUCAACGCCGUGAAUCUUAACGGAGACGUUGCCGCUAGAGUCAACGGUGAAGUAAGGGUCACCCCAUCCCGCAAUAUUGUAGAGGUAACCAUAGUUGGUCGACAUGGUCUCUCCUUCCUACACAAAGAGUUAAUUAGCUAAUAAAAUCUAGGGCUUAGUUUCGCAGUGAGAAUCGCAUGAGAAUGAAGGAGAUAAUUUCUCUCGCUCUUAUUAAUCUUCGACGGUCGAGAUCUCUUCUACAUGUUUGUCACUGAUUGGACGGAUGCGAUCUGUUUUGGGGCUCUCUGUGGGAUCCCCGUUUUAUCGAUGGUGUGGUCACAACAUCAAGCAGCCGCGCAAUAUGCGGAAAAGGUCAAAGUUACAUCUUUGGUUUCCGAAUUGUGAUCACGUGUUUGGGGCGCACCAUCGCCUUUACUGUGAUAAUAAAUUAAAGGAUUCCCCCAAACAUUGUCUACGUGCAUUAAAUAGGCUCAUUAUAUAUUUAACGUUUUGGGCCUCGUUGCUAUUUAGACCGUGUUUUCCGAUCGAUGAGAAAAUAAUUAAGGAUGGGUUAAGGUAGAGUGAUGUUGACCACCACAUAGAUCAAUUAAUAUACUUCAAAGUGAUCAUAUUGUGCAAUAUAGGACGUUAGAGAGUCUAGUUAGCGACUCAUAUAUACGGUAACUAUGAUAAAGGUGACUUUAUCCAGUCUCGGAGUACGUAGUUCACAAGUUUGAUUGAGUAUUAGGAAGAGAAUGAUUGUAUUGUGUGAUAUUUAAAAAACUAAUAGUGUUUAUUGAAUUUAUUGGGAUUCACAGAACUGCAUUACGUGUGAUGAGAAUAUACAAUGCGAAAAUAUUUUAUUUCUUUUUACAUAAUGAUAUAUUUUGCAUAUUGUAAUAAAACGGUUAUAAGAGUUCGUUUCAUUUACUUUUAUAAAUACGAUCGUUUAAUUCCCAUAAGUUGUCUCUGUAAUUUAGUUUCUAUUUAUAAUAGCUCACGUGAACUGCGUGUUGAAACAGUUCCAGAGAUAAACCUCUUUUUCUUUAUUACAGUUUUAAAUAUGUAAGGCCACAUGCUAAUUAUAAGCUGGCUAUUCAAUUAGCGCCCAUGAAUGGACGCUUAUAUAUGUUAUUUCAUUUUGCAAAGCAUUUUCAAAAAUCAAUUUUAUCUCUCACGUAAUAUAUUUAAAAUUGUUAUCCCUUGCAAACGCAUGAUUGUAAUAUUAUUAGGAAAUAAUAAAAAUAAUUUUUAUAAAUUUAAUAAUAGUAAGUUAAGUUUAACCUAUUUGAUGGACAUUUAAUUAAUUGCAAAAUCACUUCAUUAUCUUAAUAAUAUUUAAAAAUCUACUAUCUUUAUAAUCUAAUACUUAAUCCUCUAUAGAAGUAUUCUUCUUAGUAAUCAUCAUAUUAUUAUUUUUAUAUAAUCAAGAAUUGUUAGAGAGAGGAUUCACGAAAUUAUUCAAUUAAUUAUUGUAUGAACACUAAAGAUUAUAUUUCAUUUGUUACAAAAGUGUUAUAAUGUUUGGAAUUUGUUUUGUUGGGGAAAUUACAUUAUACUAAUGUUUGAAUUUACUUUCAACGAGUGCUUGUAAAGGUAGGUUUCUUUGAAUGUCUACAGAGUGUUUUAACUUAUCGAUUCAUCAUCUUGAUUAAUUGAUGCGAUGAUUNAAUAAUAAAGGAUUAUUACAAUGUUAGUACGCAAACGUUCCCUAUUGUUAAAUGUUUUUUUUUUUAAAUUUUUUGUUCUCGAGACGAGGUAUGUAACCUUAUAUUUGAUUGUGGCGAAUAAAAUACAUUUGCAUGCGAGUUUUAAAGUCAACACUAAAAUCGACGCGUCCGGAUCUUUAUUAGAAUAUAUGGGCGAAGACUACGACUUACUAGAAACCGCGUGCACUACGAUGAGUCAGCAAUUCAGCUCUACAGUGUAGCAGCAGCUUAGAAUAGAUUUUUUUAAAAAAAUUAAUUGCUCGAUAAAAUAGUAUGUAAAAAAAAAAUAUAUAUUAUCUAUACCGUGUAUUAGUAAAAUAUUAAUAUAAUACCUAUCCAUUCAAACAUAUGAUAACUUUUUUAAAAAUAUUUUUUAAUAUUAAAAUAAUAAUUAAAUUAUUUUUUUCGAUGAUUAGUACAGGUGGGUUGAAAUAAAAAAUUUUAGAAUGCAAUAGAUAUAUUAGUAAUGUGGCGCAACAAAUCAAUCAAAUGUCUUCUUUUAGGAGUAUAUGUCUCAUUAAAAUUAUAAAUAAAUAUUUUUAUUAUAUGUUUAUUUAAAAAAAAUAUGAUUGACUUGUUAUUAAUAACGUGAUGUAAGUAUGAUAAUGUAGAAUUUGUCGGUUGAAAUACCGUGCGCGUGGGUGUGCAGAGAAAUUAAUUUUACCUGGACCUCAACAUAUAAGUAGUAUAAAAAAUACUAAAGAUUACGUAGAAUUGGCCACGUGCUUUGUGUACUUUAGAUCUAGAAGAGGUUAAGGAUAAGGUCAACGUUUUGGAGUCUUAAUAUAUUAUAUUAUGUUUAUUACAAAGAGGAUUCAAACUUUGUAGUUUUGUUUGAACUAUAAUUAGAAAUUCGAUUUGAAAUUGAUAAUUGAAUUCAAAUUUAAUUUAGAAUUUUCAUUUAAAUUAUAGUAAAAAUUUUGAAUUUGACUUUAAUUUUUGGAUUAUAUAUUUAGUACUUGGAAUCAAUAUUGAAUGUAAAUUUAUAUUAAAAUUUGAGUUGAAAAUGUGAGUUUGAAUUCAUUUAAAAAAAUUAAAAACUUUGCAUCGAAAUCUGAAUCUUAAUUGUGAAUUUUAAAUUUAAAUUCAGUUUUAGAUUUUGAAUUUGAGACUUUGUAUUUGAAUUUGUAUUUGAAAUUUUAAAUUUGAAUGCAGAAUAUGAAUUUGAAUAAAAAUUUAUAUUUUGAAUCCGAAGUUUAAUUAGAAUUGGAAACAAAAAUGUGAAUUUGAAUUUAAUAUUUGGAUUCGAAUCUGAAUUUGAUUUUCAUCUAAAUUUGAAUUUGGAAAUCAGAUUCAAAUUUAGUAUUUGUAUUUGAGAUGCUAAAUUUGAAUCUGAAUUUGAAAUCAAAAAUUAAAAAUCAACAAUUGACUUUGUAUUUGACAUUAAAUUCUAGAUUUAAAAAUCUCAAUUUAAAUUUAAACUUUGAUUUUAAAUCUAAAAUUUAAUUUGAGAUUCUGAUUCAAAUUUAGAUUUUGAAUUUAAAAUUCAUCAUUCUGCUGCUCCUAUGUCAUAAUUCUUUUGCUUCUAUGUAACCACGUAGAAUGUAAUUCUCAAAACAGCCGACAUGUGCAAUUUUGUAAAAGUCUAUGCAAUAAUUAUCAAUAUACAAAAAUUUAGUAAAUUAUGAUGAAAAUUUUAUAUUGAAAAACCAAUAGUAGGAUUUGUUUAUUUUUAUGUUAGCUGUAUAUAAACAACUCUAAAUAUGUUGACAUAGAUUUUAAAUUUAAACAUUAAUUCUUGCGAAUAUUUAGUUUUUUGACAUAAAUUUAGAUUUUAAAGGAGAUUGGAGGGGUACAUUUGUCGUGUGAACAAAUAGUUCUAUAAGCAUUUUAUAUUAUGAACACUUCUGCAUAUUAGACUGACAAUUUUAAACAUGAAAUCUAAUAAAGUUUUCUAAAAAAUCGGUAAAAAAAUCAGCAUUAAGGGCAGAGAAAGCACAUCACAAUCAGCGAUAGAAUGUUUCUAAGAUAAAAGGAUCUAUACAUUAGGCACAAGUGUUUGCAGUUGAUCUUGAUAUCUAAACCAGCGGUUAAUUAAUUGUUCACUUAAAGGGGUCAGCAUCCUGCCAUGUGGCAGGACAUCAGGUUGGACCGAGCUAUAUUCGAAAUUGUGGGAGGCUGGGUUGAGCCAAGUCGUGUUCGAAGUGGCGUGAGGUUAGUUGGGCCAAAUCAAAAUCGAAACCCGUGAGCGCUAUGUUUGUAUACUUUAAAUGAAUUUAGUUAUGUAUUUCUAAAAAUUAGAGUCUCUGAGAUUAUUGGUUAGCACCAACGAUCUGACGUUAGCUACCGAGACUACAGAAGUAUGCAAGAAUUCAUAUAAAUACAUCAAGAGAGGAUGCUGCUAAAUAUAUGAGUUUUUUCUGGUGUAUAAGGGAGUAACAUAUGGGCUUUCCGAGUGCAAUUAUUGACAAAUAGGCGUUACCCAGGCUAAAUUCACAAUUUGCUCUUGGGCCGAGCAUGGCCCAUCUCUCCCAACCAGUGUAUGGACUCGAUUCCCCACACAAGUCCAAAACCGUGCUACUUAACUCGUGACCAACGCGACUCUGGUACGCACCAAAGCUGGUCCCGCCGCACGCACGCACGCACGCACGCAUCCCCGCUUCGCCUUCCUUCUUGAACCCUCUCCCUCGCCACGCCACGCUACGCAUGGCAUCGCGUGAUCCUUCUCCCCCAUAUUAUUACUAUUAUUAUUAUUAUUUUUUUAUUAUUUUUAUUUUUGGUUUCUUCUUCUUAUGCUCCUGCUAUAUUAGGUCUCUUUAGCUUCGACAUUUUCGAUCGUGGUCUCUCUCGAUGGAAAUCCAUGGGCUCUCCGUGGAGCUGGGCCUCGUCCCUCUCCUCCGCCUCGCGUGGGUCGCGGCGACGUUGCCCAUCCUCGUCGCCUCCCUUCCGCUUCCGCCCACCGGAUUUGCGCACCGGAUCGUCGCGAGAAUCGGCGGAAGGGGGAAGAUCGUGAAGCCUUCUGCCAGUGUGAGUUCUCUAAUUCUUGUUAGAAAUUUUAGUUAGGGUUUCAUUUGUUCUGUUCCCAUCAUCUAUCUUCUUCUUUUUUUUGUGCUCUGCUUUGAUCUCGUGGAUUAUUUCUAGUUGUGCUCUGUUUUGAUCUCGUGGAUUAUUUGUAGUUAUCCACUCUGUUCUUGGUGUAAAUUAAUUCCUGGGAUUACAUAUCAAAUUUACACCGGCGUUGGCAAAACAAACGGUUUUUUAAAUCUUGAUGCGACUUUGAUCUAAUUCCUGUGGAAAACUGAAUUACACGCUCGAAUAUUUCACUGUUUUUCUGUGGGUACUUUGAAGCUCGCUUCACAACUCGCAUGAGCAACAAAUCUUUCUUAUGCACUUAUCGAGGCCGAUUCGGCUAUUUUGUUUUUUAAAUCUUGCUAUUCUUUAAUUUAAAGAUGCCAUUUCUUCAAGUUUGAUGUGUUACCCUGAGACGCGGAUUAAUCCUGUAUGCAGAACGGGAAUUGGAUCACAGAACACCACUUGCUCCAAAACAUGGUACGAUAGGGAUAGCCUUUAGGGUGCGUUUGGUUCGCGCUAUCUUUUUAAGAUUUCUAGUAAUCCAAUAAGAAUAAAAAAAAUAUGACGGUAUUUGGCUAAACGCACUAAGUAAUCUAGUUGAUAAUACUAGAUUUAUUUGGGAAUGAGAUGCAUCCCAAAGUACUAAUCUCAUUCGUUUGAGGGAGGGUGGGUAUCCGUAUAUUAAUAGAUUAGAAUAAGUAUAAUAUGUCUAAUCUUUUUUUUUCUUCCCACCCGCCGGCUAGUUGGUAUUAUUUUUCUUUACACUCUAACCUCAUAUCUUUCUCUAAACUUUUUUUUUUUCUAAACUUUAAUUCUUUUUCUCUCUCUAAAUUAAGCUAUUUCUCCCUCACUUUUUUUAAAAUCUCAACCCUCUCAUUCUCUCUAAAUAACAUGACUAAAUAGUAUGAUCGUACGAACCAAACACCGAAAUACUACAUUCUUAGUAAUAGGAUAAAUAGGAAUAAGAUCGGAUAUCUUUUUACUCCUAGUAAUCUUUCAUAGUGCGAACCAAACGCACCCUUAUUGCCAAGUUUUAUAGGAAUUGAAAACAUUCACUUGAAACAAAAUGUAAAUAAAUAAAACAUAUAUACAUAUAUGAUUCCGCUAUAGAGUAAAUAGGUUAGAAUUAGGAUAACUUGUUUUGCCAUUCCAAUUCAGUAAUGAUCCACAAAUCAGAUCAUAUGUUCCAAUUUUUGCAAUUCAAAGGAAAUUUUAUGGAUUAGCUAAUCACAGUGUCAUCUCUUUCUUCUUUGGCAAAAAAUAAGGUAAGGUCCUUUCAUAAAUCGCAACCUUCUACUUUUAACUUUGACAAUCAAAAUUCUUUUCCUUUUCGAAAACUGUAAAAUGUUCUUUUUUAUGUACUGCAGAAGUUCACAGUUCCACAAAGAUUCUUCUUGCAUUUUUAUGUGGUGGGUGUGGUGUUGACAACACUAGUGUUGCUAUUGAUAUGGUUCUACGCAUAUAAGGAAAUGACUCCAGUAUUCCCUGAUUUGUUACACUAUUCAACGAUUACCAGCCAACUAACUGGAGGCUCUCAUGUAUUUUCAAUUCAUAAAGGUCCUUCACAUACUGUGGAGCAUAAGCAUCAUGUUUGGCAAACUGUGUUUGUGCUGUUAUUAAUGGAGAUUCAACUCUUAAGACGUUUGUAUGAGACAAUAAACGUGUUCCAUUAUGGGCCAUCAGCUCAAAUGCACAUAUUUGGCUAUCUCGCUGGUUUAUUGUAAGUUCCUUGAAACUUUGCCUUUGCCGCUUUCCGACGAAACUUCUAAAUUUUUCUUUGAAGUAUUGAAUAAAAAAAUAACAGUAUUUGAAUAUUCAUUACAAAAUCACCCUUUAAAGUUUAAUCUUGAUAGGUGAAUAUUUUCGUAUUUAUAACAAAAGCACAACCAACUUUUCAUUUUUAGUUCAUUUAUACUUGAACGGCAUCAUUUUUGAUUAGUUGGCUUACUAGUUCCUUCACAGUGAUCUAGGAUUCUAUAUAUUAUUCUGAUGUCUUGUUCACUAUGCGAUGUUGAGUUUUUUUUUCACUAAAUUACCAAACAAUCACUAGAUGGUAGGCCUUGACAAGUCAUCAAUUGUUUUUAGUAACUUAAAUGUGUAAAUAACAAUGUGAGGCUACUGACCGUCCCUAGCGCAAGUGGCAAAAGGGCUUGGUGGUUGGUACCCAAGACCCAAGUUCGAAUCCUUUCACAUUUCCAGCUAAGUUUAUUUCUAAAUGAAAUAAACGAAGCGGGUAGCAUCCUACCUUUCUCUCAAAAAAAAAAAAACAAUGUGAGGCUUUUAUAAAUUGUUCAUUACUUGAUGGUUGACUAUUUGUUAACCUUUUCCAACACUUCUGAGAUGCUUUCUGUUUCUAUGCUAGCUUUUAUAUUGCAGCACCUUUAUCUCUUGGUAGCUCAUGUCUUUUGGAGGCAUUGAAUUAUGCUCGUGGUCAAAUUGCUGAGUUCAUUGUCAAAGGUAGAGCAAGAAUGCCAGAUAUAGAGGUUGAUUGGUUAGGAUUGUUAAAGCCUCUUCUAAAUUUGGGAUGGUGCCAGUGGGUUGCUGCGGCUAUCUUUAGCUGGGGUUGGCUUCAUCAGCUACAUUGCCAUAUGAUUCUUGUAAGUGAUGCUUUCUUUAGAAUAAUUUAGUAGAGCAUCUAUGGGAAACCAUGCUUAUAUCCUUUUCAAGGGGAAAAAAUGCUUUACAAUGAUUCUAGAAUAUUGAGUCGUACGGAAAUAUGAAUACUGUACGUAAUUAUUUUAUUUAUACAAACUUGACUAUCUACCCACUUAGAGACAUGAACCCUCAAGAGUCUUUCACUACAAUAAUGCAAUAAAUAUUACUUUCACACAAUUAAAACAGCUCGCAUACACUACUAUUUUCACCUUAAACUAUUCUUUUGAACUUUAUAUUCAGUCACUAUGCAACUCACUGUUCUACACUAUGCACUAGUUCUUACAAACAGAUGCUCACAUCUUAUCUUCUCUUUUUCUCGCCUCCUUGAUCCCAAAUGAAGACUUGAAGAAAAAUUUGCUUAACUAGAAAUGACGGUUUUAGUGCUUCAGCCUAUUCCCAGAUGUCAGCGAAACAAAGCGUCCUUACCAAAUAAUUCAUGUUUGUUCCCUUUUCUGCCAGACAAGCAUGAUCUUACUUAUUUAAACAUAGUUGUCACAGCAGGUAGUCUUAGAAAAGCUUGAGUAGAAAAGUUGACUCCACUAACAUAUAUUUCUAUUUGUUGAAAUGAUUGAAUGGAGAGUCCAGACUUGUUAUCUUAAAUGUUUCCUUCAGGAUUCAUUUUAUCCUUGCCUACGUUCUUUCUAAUAGGUUUCUCCUUUUCUAAUGCUGGCAUCUAAACUUCUUUUUAUCAUCCAUUGUUAUACGAACAACAUGGUUUGCUUAUGCAACUUCUUGUUUAGAUCUUUGUCAUAUUAUGUAGGAUAAUUAAGUCGUUACUCCUGUCAGGGCUCUUUGAGAGAAAACAAAGGAGCUGAUGAAUAUGUGAUUCCUCAUGGUGACUGGUUCAGAUAUGUUUCUUGUCCACAUUACCUUGCUGAAAUAGUAAGUUCUGUGAUCGUUUGUUAAUGUUAACAUCAUUGCUUCUGUAUCUUGUCAGAUAGACCUUAUAUUAUCAGCAUUGAAUUUAUAUGUCGUAUUACUAAACUAUUUUCAUCAACCUCUUCUAAUGCUUUUUGUACAUGAAGGGGAUUCUAUGUAGUUCAGCAUUUAAAAAUUGGAAAAUGGUGCAUCCGGAGCAGUUUUGGCGCAUGUUCCACAUAAAAAAAAAAAAUCUGGCAGGUUCAUUGGUGGAAAAGGUGGUAGCGGGUCCCACCAUGAAUCUCAUCUGAUUGUUGAACUGCACUGACCCUUGAAUUACACGUUGUUACAAGUGCCUAAACUAUCGUGGGCGUAGUAUUGCUUUUAAAAUAUCCAAACUGUUGGGCUUUAAGGGGUACAAUUAAAUAUUGCUGUAUGAUUUACUCUAGUCUUGUACUUUCUGAUGCUAGGACUAAAUUUCUUUUAUCUUUUGGUUAAACAUGCAAUUUAUCUUCUCAAAAUGAUGUAAAACAGCAAGUGAAUUGUCUUUCAACAUGCAGGUAGUCUAUGCAGGGAUUUUGGUGGCAAGUGGCGGCUUCGAUAUCACUGUGUGGCUUCUUUUUUCAUUUGUGGUAUGUCGUAUCUCCUUGAAAGGAUGUUGAUGUCAAUUGGAAUUAUCAAAUUGUGUUCAAAUUUGUUAUUGUUUUCUAUGGUUCUUUCAUCAAUCAUUACGUUGAUCAGCUUGUCUAUCCAGGUAGCCAACCUAGUCUUUGCUGCAGCAGAAACUCAUAGAUGGUAUCAUCAAAAGUUCGAUGAUUAUCCACAAUCCCGUCGUGCUAUAAUCCCAUUUGUUUAUUAGGGGUGUAUGAAAAUGGGCGAGUUGCUUGAGGAUAGUGUAUCUUGCUAGCGACCGGAGCAGAGCCAAACAUUUCUUUUCUUGUGUUUGGACAUGGUCAUGCAGUGUACAAAAUACAUAUCGGCGGUCACACUCCAAACUUGUGUGGUCGAACUACAACCUGCAGAAUACAAUAUUAUGUUGUAUGUUCCACAUUGCACAAAUUAUGUGUUAAUCGACUCGAAUUGUGAUUGAAUUGUCACUUUCAACCUUUUCGAGUGGGAACGCUAAUCAAAAUGGAAUGCUUUCCUCAAAAAUAGCAGGAAACUCUAAACUUUAGACGGUUGUGAUUACUGGAAAUAAAAUGUAUGCCUCUGUUUUGUUUCUGAUCAAGUGUUCUAGUGUAUAUAAUGUAAUCCUUUCUUUUAACAUGUAAUGAAUUUUAGCAAUAUUUUCUAUAUUACUUGCUGGUCAACUGCAAAUUUGUGCUUUCUCUUUCACAAGUAUAUCGCUCCUUGGGGAGGACGUUGGACUUGCAUCAGAAAAAAUUUUGAGUGUAUACAUAUUAAGUCUAAAUACUUGUGAUUCCUUGUCGCAGUAAUGAAUGUACAUGCCAAGCCUAAGGGUAAAUUUUUGCGACUUUAUGGUCCCAAAAUAUUGGAUUUGUAUUUGAUUGGUCUUUGUGGUUAUUAUGUUUUUUUGGGGGGUUGGAGGGUUGGGGCCACACCGGGGGAGAAAAAAAUAUGGCGUCACAGGGAAAGCGCACAUGUUGAGCAUUUAUGGUAUUUUCUUGUAAAAGUCUUAUUUUGUACACUCAAAUAAGUCUUAUAUUCUAUUCAUUCAAAACUAAAUGUUUUCUUAUUAUUUUUUAAAAUUAUUUUUAUUAUUAAAAAUGUUUUAAAAAUUAUUUAAAAUUUUAGAUAGGUGGGUAUGCAAUUUAUAUUUUCUUCUGUGUGUACUAGCAUUAUUUCUCUUUCACAUAUGUCAAAUAAACUACGAAAUCAGAAGGUUGAAUUAUGGAUUUUAGUGUAUUUGAAUAAAUUAAGGGAAAACUUCAAAAACCCCCCUGUGGUUUCGUGCAUUCUCACUUUGCUACCCUGUGGUUUAAAACGUAUCAAUUUGCUCCCCUGUGGUUUCGUUUUUAUCUUUUUGUUAUCAAUUUUAUUAUUAUUUUUUUUUAAAAUCAGUGACAAAGUUAAAAUUAAAGGAUACUAAAGUGACUAUUCGAUAAAUAUAGAUGGUUAUCUGAAGUUUUUUGUAUAUAAUUUAACGAAAUAUUAACGAAAAAGCUUCCGAAAAGAUAAAAAUGAAACCACAAGGGGGUAAAUUGAUACGUUUUAAACCAUAGGGUAGCAAAGUGAGAAUGCACGAAACCACGGGGGGUUUUGAAGUUUUCCCAUAAAUUAAUUAGCUGUGACGCUUGUAACUUCACUCUUUAUGUGAAAUCAGAAGGUUGAAUUUUACUGGUCUCCACGGAAAGAUUUGUACGCUUUUUUUUUUUUUUUUUUUUUUGCCUGACUCUAAAGAUAAAAUGUUUUCAACAUUUCACCUUUUCAUGUGAUCUCCUAAUUAUAACUUUCUUUAAUAAAUUUUUUUCUGAAACAAAUUUUAGAAAGCCUUGUUUUUUUAAAAUAAGCCUUGUUUUUUCAAACUUUAUUGUGAAACAACCGUUAUACUCUAAAAAUUUAAGUUGUUAAAGAAUAAUGUUUAAAUAUUUUUAUAUUUAACACUCCUCCUCACGUCUGGACUCGAGACUCUUUAAUCGGCCCAUGACGUGGGCUUGAAUUAAAUGGGAGAAAAUUAAUAUGCUAGGAGCCUGAUGUGACUCGAACUCAGGACCUCUCUCUGAUAUUAUGUGAAACAAUUGUUAUACUCUAAAAACUUAAGCUGUUAGAGAAUGAUGUUUAAAUAUUUUUAUAUUUAACAUUUACAAACUUUGUGAUCUCCUAUAAUGUACACCAAUAUUAUAAGCCUUGUUUUUCCAAAAUAUUGCUGUACAUGUAAAGUUUGUACGUGCACAACAUCAGGCUUAUAGCCUCGAGUGAUCGUUGAAGGGGCACAGCUCAAUCAAGAGAUAUAUAUAUAUAUAUAUAUAUAUAUAUAUAUAUGGCUGAUAUGGAUGAAACUUUGUUUAGGUUCAUUAAAAAAGGCUCAUGAGGAACUCAGAAGAACAAUAAUACUGGGAACACACGAACACACGCGUCACGCGAGCGCACACUAAUAUUUGAUGGCAAGGUGAGAUAUCACGCACCUCUUGAAAGUGAAAUACCAAAUCUCCUUUAACAAGGAGUUCGAAAUACUGUAACCCUUCGUUCGAAAAUCAAGUAAAAUCCUUUGGAAAUUAUCAUAUUAAAAAAUAUUAAAAGAUUGAUAAAAUUUAUCUUCAAAGUUUGGUUAUUAGCUAGGUGACCAUGUUGUAGAAUUUUAAUUCAUGUUGGAUUGCAACAUUAGUAAAACUCUCCUUGAAAUCACUACAACAAUUUUAUUCUGUUCCAUCUAUUGAGUUGUAUUAAAAAUUAAUUAAAAGGUAAACUUCAAAUACCACCUCUAUGAUUUCGUACUUUCUUACUUAAUACCAUAUGAUUUAAAGUGUAUCAAUUUAAUACUUUGUGGUUUCAAUUUUUUCUUUUCAUCAUCUCUUUUCUUAACAUUUCGUUAAAUUGUAUAUGAAAAAUUUCAGAUACCCUACCUAGGUUUAUCGAAUAUUUAUUUUAGUAGCUUUUAGUUUUAACUUUGUCUCUGAUUUAACGAAAAAAUUUAAUGAAGGGGAUAAUAAAAGGAGAGAGAAAAAUAAACCACGGGGUACUAAAUUGAUACACUUUAAACUACAGAAUACUAAAAUAAAAAAGGAUGAAACUACAGGAAUAGUAUUUGAAGCUUUUCCAAAAUUAAAUUGUUAUGAGAUAGAGAUAUUUUUUAUUGUAAUUAUUUAAGCUUUUGUCAUUUUGUGAUAAUAAUAUAAUUAUAUUGGUUAGCCAUUUAUUAUCUUGCAUGUAACUUCCACUUGUAUCUCGGCAACACAUUUCCAUUUUCUACAACUGUUCUACGACAUUACUGAUACAGAGGACUUAACUUGCUUUACAUACAAUUCACGAUGAGGUACCAACUGUUUCUAUCCUAAGUGGUAAAUAUCCUAAGUGGUAAAGGAUUUAAUAGUUAGUAUUCUAGAUCUUAAGUUCAAAUUUUAGUUAAUUCACAUUUUCAGCUAAAUUUAUUUUUUUCAAAAAAAUAAACAAAGCGUGUAACAUAUUAUUUUUUUCUUAAAAAAAAAAUCACAAUAUAUAAGAUGGGCAGUUGUCAUGAUCAAAAAGGACCACCAAUCAAUACAUUAUCAAAAAGGACUAAUCAAAUUCGGUCAUACUACGAAGGAUAAAUUGUUUUGGAAUCAACGAAAAACUUUUUAUUUGUGCAACAAAAUUAAUUAGUUUCCACCCUUGUCACCCCUUAAUUAUGUUGAUAUAUUUAUAAAUGUGAGUAUUAAAAAAGUUUAAAAGCGGAUUGCGUUAGACGAGGGGAUUAUAUGUUGAAAAAUCGAGAUUAAAGUUUCUAUACUCCUUAAGAAUCAUAAAGAUUUCUAAUUAAUUACGCCUAUUUAUAUUUAGACAACCUUCGAUUAAACUGGUCAAUUAUGAUAAUUGGCAAAACAGAAUGCAUUUCUUUUAUUUCUCUUGUACAUCGGUAUACAAAAUUAAUACAACUGAAAAAGAGAAAAAGCGACAAUUAUUAUUUCUCUACUUUUCUCAUCUUCAAGGUAUUUCUCCAAAACAAUGUCGGUCAUGCAUCAUACAUAAGCCUUUUUUGGUAUUUCAUCGAGCAUUUGACACGCACACAAGUAAUGUGCAAAUUACCUUUGACAUUUCAUCGAAUACUUAGCACGCGUACAUGAACAAUACAGCAUGCUCAAGUUUCCUUUGACAUUCUGUGAUAUGCACACCAUUUUUUUGGCAUUUCAUCGAACGUAUAGUACCCGCAUAUAAACAACGCACUAUGCACAAAUUCUUUUUGGCAUUUUGUCUAGCACUUGGCAUGUGCACAUAAAUUAUCCAUCAUGCACAACUUAUUUUUGACAAAAGCCAAUUCAAAAUAGCGGCAAUCAAUAAUUUGAUUGGAGCUUUCCGUUGGCGACUAAGCGUCGAACGGAUAGUCAUCGUCGUUGUCGUCGUCUACCGCUGACGGCUAAGCGUCAAGCGGAUGAUCAUCGGAUCGUUGUUGUCGCCUACCGCCGACGACUGAGUGUCGAGCGGAUCGUCGUCGGUGUUGUUGUCGCCUACCGCCAACGGCUGAGCGUCGAGCGGAUCGUCGUCGGUGUUGUUGUCGCCUACCGCCAACGGCUGAGCGUCGAGCGGAUCGUCGUCGUCGUUGUUAUCGCCUACCGCCGACGGCUGAGCGUCAAGCGGAUGAUCGUCAUCGUCGUCGUUGUUGUCGCCUACCGCCGAUGGCUAAGCGUCGAGCGGAUCGUCGUCGUCGUUGUUGUCGCCUACCACCGGCGGCUGAGCGUCAAGCGGAUGAUCAUCGGCGUUGUCGUUGUUGUCGCCUACCGCCGGUGGCUAAGUGUCGAACGGAUCGUCGUCAUCGUUGUUGUCGCCUACCGCCGACAGCUGAGCGUCAAGCGGAUGAUCAUCAUCGUCGUCGUCGUUGCCACCUUUACUGUCGACGGCGAAGUGUCAAGCGGAUCGUCAUCGUUGUUAUUGUCGCCUACCGCCGACGGCUGAGCGUCAAGCGGAUGAUCAUCAUCGUCGUCGUCGUUGCCACCUUUACUGUCGACGGUGAAGCGUCAAGCGGAUCGUCGUCGUCGUUAUUGUCGCCUACCGCCGACGGCUAAGCGUCAAGCGAAUCGUCGUCGUCGUUGUCGUCGCCACCUUUACCGCCGACGGCUAAGCGUCAAGCGGAUCGUCGUCGUCGUCGUUGUCGGUGCAGCAACAGUAGGCGGAUGGCCACCUCCUUGGUCGAUGAUGACGCCACGCUAGCAAAAGAGAACGUGCACCAAUCCAGGAUCAACGACGACGGGGCAACAGCUGUCAGCAAAGGUGUUGGAAUUGCGACGAGCGGUCGUCUUUUCUUAGUUGACGAUGACCCGGCGUAGUAGAGGUUGAUGACGGCAUGCAUAGCCCGGUGUGCAUAGAAAGCUCGAUAUAUGGAGUGCCUUGACUAGGAGAGAAGAGAAAAAAAAAAAUAAAAGCGAGAGGAUCUAAACCCACCUUUCUAUUUGGCUCUUUUUUUUGUUAGAUCCAAGUUUCUUUCCUCCUCAUUUUUUUUGGUGAGUCGAAUCCUCUUCUUUUUUUUUUGUUCACUUCUCUUUAUAUAGAUAGAGGCUAGUGGAAGUUUAUGGUGAAGAGAAGAGCAAAUGAUGGAGAAGUGGAGGGAAUGGUGAAGUACUGGAGGGAGUGAUGGAGAAGUAGAGGGAAUGGAGGGAAAGUGGAGGGAAUGGUAGAGAAAAUGAAGGGAGUGUGGAGAAGUGGAUGAAAUGGUGGAGAAAGUGGAGGGAGUGAUGGUGAAGUGGAGUAAACGGUGGAGAAAGUGGAGGGAGUGAUGGAGAAGCUAAGGGAGUGAUGGUGAAGUGAAGUAAAUGGUGGAGAAAGUGGAGGGAGUGAUGGAGAAGUGGAGGGAAUGGUGGGAGAUCGUGGAGGAGUGGAUUUAGGGAAGUGAUCUUUUUUUUUUUUCGUGUUAACAAUAAAAACAGCAAUGCAGGUCGUAUUAAUACAAUAAUAGGUUUUACAUCAGCAUGCACGAUCACUUGCAUUAAUUAUCACGAGAACAGAGGAUCGGGGGAGGCUUUAUACAACUUAUAUAAUAUGAGGAUAAGUCACAGGUUUACAUCACAAAGGAGACAAGGGUGAUUUUAACAGUAGAAAUAUAUUUAAAAAUAUCAGAAAUUUUUACAGGAACAACACAUGAAAGUUAAACUUUGUAGAGAUAUAUUUGUUAUUCAUUAUAUUUGUAAAAAUAUGUAUGAAAUUAAUCCUUAAAUAAUUAAAGUCAUAUAAAUUGAAAGAUUAGACGGUUAAAUCAAAAUUUUGAAAGGGCCAUAAACUAUACCUAAAUACUAUAAUAAAUUAUUUUUAUAAAAUUUAAGUUUAAGUAAAUUUUUUUAAAAAAAUAAAUUAUUUUUAUAAUAAAUUAUCUUUAUUAAAUCAUACUUUAUAACAAAUUAUUUUAAUUAAAUUAUUUCAUAAUAAAUAAUUAUUUUUAUAUUAUAUUAUAUAUCAAAUUCAACUAUUAUUUUGUUUUUAACUAUUCUCAAUCUAUUAUUUCAUAAACAAUAAUAUUAAUAAAAAGUAAUGCUAGAAAUACACCAAAAAUAGAUACAGGAUCUACAUCAGUGAAAAGUAGGAUGUACACUCAUCUUUUUACGUACAAGUAGUAUUUUACAUAAAUAAAACACAAUUUCAUUUUUAACGUUGCAAAAGGACGUGAAUGCCCUCGAGAGUUGCGGUGGCCCGUAUAAAAAACUUAUUAUUUGAUGUACAAACUAAGCUACGAAAGGUGCAUGAAUAAAUAUGGCAGGAUAAAGGUACAAAGGAAUCUACUAGGAAUAUAUGGUUACUCUUAUCACAUCCACUCAUCACGUCACCUCUCAAUUUUCAUUAUUCAAAUAAAUAAAUUUUGUAAGUGACAUAUUAAAUAAUUAAAUUAAAAUAUUAAUUGUAUAUAUUUUUUUUUCAUAAAUAUACCAAAUAACAGACAUAUUUUUAAUUUCUACAAAAUUUAAUUUUUUAUUUUUAUCUUUGUAUAAGUCCUAACGUUUUCAAAUAUAAUUAACUAUAAAUAUAAUACUUAAUUUUGAUUAGUGAAUGAGUUAAAUUAAUUUUUUCACCUUUCUUGUAUUAUUAGGUAAAAUGUUUUGUGAAAAAAAUAUUUUUAUAUAAUUUUAACAAAUGGAAGUUUGAAAAGAUAUAUAUUUAUAAUAAUAAAAAUAUAAUUUUACUUUUUUACUAUUAUAAAAUAAAUCAUAUUAUAACAAUAACAAAUCUAAAGAACGACUAUAAAUAUUACUAAACUUUUACAAAAAUAAAAAUAUAAAAAAUUAGAUUUUUUGUAAAAUAUAUUAAUGAAGCUGUAUACAAUUAAUUCUAUUUAAAAUAAUAAGAUAAAAUUAAAAGUACACAGUUAUACACAAAGAGGGACAAAAUUUGCUGGGCAGCGUGCCCAAACUAAUUAGUUUGGGCACGCUUCGGAUGGGCGCCGCGAACACAUCAGCCGCUCUCGCGGCGCCAUCACAACCAUUGAAAAAAAAAAAAAAAAAGAGUUGGCCCUUUUUUAGAAAGAGAGAAAGAUAGGGGGAAGAGAGCGCUGCCGAUCCGGCGGCGCGCCCAAACAAAUUAGUUUGGGCACGCUGCCCAGCAAAUUUUUGUUCGUAAUUAUAGCAAAGAAGACUUCUUUAUAGUACUUCUGAUCAAUAUUUUCGGAGAAUUAAAAUGAUUAUGAUUUUUUUUAUUUGUAUUAAAAAAUUAAAUGCUAUCGGCCGUUUUUAGUACAAGUGGCAAAAUGUUUAAUGAUUAAUAUUUGAAAUUUCAAGUUUGAAGACUAGUUGUUUUGCAUUUUUAAUUAAAUUUAUUUUUUUAAAAAAUAAACGAAACGGAUCGCAUAUAUAUUUCUUUAAAAAAAAAAUCAAAUGCUAGUCCACUUAAAAUUGAAAAUUCUAUUAAAAAAACAGAUUGCUAUUUUUUUUCAAUAACUAAAGAUUUUAAAUAGAUAAUUCAAUUAUUUCCGGCAAUUAAUAUAAGAGCGAAAGGCCCGAAGUUCAAAUAUUUUUGUCUCACUGCAUCCAAUAUUUUUGUCCCAAUGCUUUUUGGUAUUUUCAAAUAUACACUUCUAAUAUCAUCAAUAUUUUCUUAUUUGUCCUUAAGUUAAGAACAAAAGUAAUAUUUUAAUUUUUUUAACUGUAAUAGAUAUUUAACUCACGUUUAACUCAAAUUAAUUUAACGGAGGUAACUGUAGGAAUGUUUUAGAAUAACGAAUGAAUAUAUGAUAGGCAUUUUAAAAAAAAAAUUAAAAAAAAUAAAAUAUUUCGAAAUUUUUGAAGGAUAUAUAAGUAAUUAUUCUAAUUUUAAAAUAUCCAUCUCCAAGUUGUUUGUCUUUUACCUUUGCGCCAAAAUUGAUGAGCAAUAAAAGUUACAGGAGGAGGGCAAAGGAAGUGACUCUUUGCCAGGAAUUGAUGUUCGUACAUGACACACUCUGCUCUUUGUGGGACAAAAAUUUGCUGGGCAGCGUGCCCAAACUAAUUUGUUUGGGCACGCUGCCCAGCAAAUUUUUGUCCUACAAUUACUAAAUCAAAAGUCUUUAUUAUUCAAAAGUAUAAGAGUUGAAUUUUUUCUAGCACAUUUCAGCAUGAAAUCAUUUUAUGUCUUGUUUAAAUCUUUUGUUAUUUCACAUGACAUAAUAUAAUUACUCCCAAAUACAGGAUAUAUGUAUUAUUAUACAUGACAUAAUAUACCAGAUUGAUCUAUCUCGUACUUUCAAAUAUAUUCUGUAUGGUUAACACCGUAAACUCCUUUAUCUUUUUCGAUGUUUAUGGAACCUGGCAUUAACCAUCUCUUUUUUAAAAAGAAGCUCUCAAUAUAAUUCUUUGUUUUUUAAGAAAAAGAUAUCAUGCUAUCUGCUUUAUUCAUUAAAAAUAUAAAUUAAAUAACAAAAGUGAGGUAAAGAGACCUCGAAAAAAAAAGAAAAAGAAAAAAAGAAAACUUUUCUUUCUUGCUCUCAAUAUAAUUCUUGCUAUCAAUUAACUAUUGGUUGGCCACAAAACUUUUCGUUCUUGUAUUUGGAUAUGUCAAAAAUGAAGCAGUUGGAGCUUGGUUUUCUUGUUCCAAUAAAGAAAGUUAUUUCCUUUAAUUCCGGUACUUACUUCCACAUAUUAUACAAUGAGAAAUGCUAGUAGCUGUAUAUUUUACACCUUUAUAUACCGAACAAAGACUUAGAUAAUUUUCCUUUGAAAUUUACUAUUAAAAAAGAGUGUUGAAACUACUAGGAAUAAAAAGAUGUCUGAAAAUUUUAUUUCUAUUCAUCAUAUUACUAAGAAUGUGGUAUUUCUGUAUUUGGUUCUCACGGUCAUAUUAUUUAGUCAUAUUAUUUAAAUUUUCAAAAAAUAUAUAAUUAAUUUAGUUAUUUCUUUAAUUAAUUUUAGAUAAUGCUACAAAAAAAUUCCAAUAUCUUUUUAGAAAAAAAGGGAGACAGAAUAUAGGUUAGAGAGAGAGAGCAUAAUUAAAGAAAUAAGAAGAGAAAUGGAAUCGAGAUUAGAAGGAGUGAGAGAGUUGAGAUUUUAGAAAAAGAGGGAGAGAGAGAGUUAGUUUAGAAAGAAAAAAAGAGUUGAAGUUUAGAGAGAAAUAUGAGGUUAGAGUGAAAAGAAAAAUAAUACCAACUAACUAGUCUGCUGGUAGGGAGAAAGAAAAAAGUUAGAUAUAUUAUGAUUAUCCCAAUCUAUUAAUAUAAGUAUACCCACUCUCCUUCAAGAGAAUAAGAUUUGUACUUUAGGAUGAAUCUCAUUCCUAAGUAAAUCUAAUAUUACCAGUUAAAUUACUUAGUGCGUUUAGUCAAACACCGUCAUAUUUUUUUAUUUUUAUUGGAUUAUUAGUAAUCUUAAAAAAAUAGCACGAACCAGGACAAGAAAUUGGUCGCAGCUAAGCUUCUCCGGCCAGCUGAAAAAGAGCUUAUUCUUAAAACACUUUUACGGAGAGAUAUAUAAGAGCUUUUAGAAUUUUUUUUUAUUUUUCUCACUGAGCUUAAUUAGGACAAAAUUAUGCAAUUUUUGUUACUUCGGUGUACAACAUUUCUUUGGUACUGGGGGAAAAAUCCGAUGUCCUUCUAUAACAACUAUAGCUAGGAAAUCUUAGAAUUAAGCUGUUUUUAAUGUGUCCUUUCUUCUAGUCUAUUUAAUGUAUAUCUUAUAAUUAUUACAGCGGAUAGACUGAUUAGUCGAUGGUGCCCUGUGGAUCAACAAUGCAUUUUUUGCGCGGUGUUUUCAGAAAAUUGUGACCAUCUUUUCCGUGACUGUGUCUUUGUCAGAUAUCUUAUGUUGUGCCAAGGAGGCAUAGAGAUGAGCGAUGUAGAUUUGGGGGGAUGUUCGACGCCUAUGGAAAAAGAUAUCUUGCAACCCCAAUGCCGUGUUGAGAGCGAAGAGUUUAAUACGAUUGGCGGCGAUCUGGUGGGUCGUCUGGACCGAGCACAACAACACUAUAUUUUGUGCGACGCCUCCCAACGCAAACCAGGCCACAGUUCGUGUCGAGUCUUUGUCGGAGGACUGGACUGAUGUUAUGUAAUUUACGGUAAUUCCUGCAGUAGCUAUGUCCUUGUGCUUUCCAUUUAAUUGUUUAUUUUUGGCUUUUGUUUUGGUUUAUUUGGUUUUUUCGGCUUUUCUAGGAGGUCCUUGCUGCUUCCACUUUAUAUGCUUAGUUCAUCACGUUUAAUGAAUGAAACAGGUAGUUUGCUAAUUAUUUCUCAAAAAACACAAAUCAAUUAAUGGCCACUUUUAGAAAAUCUUUUUUACAGGAGGCAAAUACUCUUGUAAAAUUUUAAAACAUCAUACAUAUUCAUAUCUCUUAAAGGUUUGAAAUUUCAUCAAUACCCUUUCAAAUUUCAUAAAUUAUUGGGAGUGCUGUCACUGUCAUCGUCAGUUCAUUUUUGUUAAACUUUAUACGGUAUGGUGACAAUUUUGCCCCUAAUUAUUGGUGGGUAAAAGUGUUUGGAGACCCUCACAUAUAGAUCAUUUUAAAAUAGACCGCUUCAAUAUUUUUUUUAAUUAAGAACUCUUUUAAGUUUUUAAGUUUUUUGAUUUGGGAUUUUGUAGCAAAAUUUUUUACAAUUGAUAUCUAUCACUCAUGAAAUAUUAACAAAAUUUUAAUUUUGCUAAUAAAAAUCACUCAAUGACGGAAAAAUGUUAGAGGGUGUAAACACACACACCAAAUAAAAUAAAAUAAAAUAAAAACAAAAACAAGAAGGUCUUUCAAAAUGGCCUAUAUAUAGGUUAGCUGGAUUUUAUACACUAAUACAUUAAAAAGUGAUGAUAUAAGUCAUGUAAUCAAGAUCAAGUGUACAGAUCUUAUUCUAAAUUGUUUAAAAAAAUUUUUAAACAAAAACCUACCAAGGAUUGUUUAGUUAAAGAAAAUUUUAAUAUAAAGAAUUAAAAAUUUGAAAAAUAAUUUGAAUGAUGUUCAAAAACAAAAAUUCAUCAAAACAUAUUUUAAUUUUUCUUAUUUUUCAAUAUUUGUUUGGUCUUUCCUAAUUAACAAGUUGGAAAAAGUUCGAACAACUCUAAGGUCAAUGACCGUUCUAAUUGAGUAGGGCGUCUCGAGAGGUGAGAUCCGAUGCUCACGUAGCGACAGUUCUCACAACCUCAAUAGAUAAUUUGGGUGCCAUGACUAAAUAAUUUUUUUUUUUUUUUUUUUUAGAGAGAUAGAUAGUAUGCUAUUUAUUUUAUUUAUUUUAUUUAGAAAUAAAUUUAGCUGAAAAUAUGAAUCAAGUAGGAUUCGAUAUCGAACCUCAAGAAUCAAUCACCAAAUUUUUACCACUUGUCGUUAGCCGAUUGGUGAUAAAGUAAUUUUUUAUUCUGGUACUGUUGCACUAACCAUCUCCUUUUGUUGAAGCCCUUUCCUGCCAUCCAUUAACUAUCUGUAGGUUGUUGGUUUGACGUAAAACUGCGAAAAAAAAUUUCUCGUGAAAAUUUGUUUUACUAUUUUAGUGUUUGGUUUGUAGAAAAAGAAAACUAAUUUUCAGUUAUAGUUGUUUUGUUGAAUGGUUGAAAAGAAAAGUUAUAUUUUAUUAUUAUUUAUUAUUAUUAUUAUUAUUAUAUGUAUCAUAUAUAUUAUUUUUUAUAAUUUAUAUUAAUAUUAGGCUAUAAUUAUUAUUAUAUUUAUAUUUAUGAAUUAAAUAUAUUAAAAUUAUAUAAUAUGAUAAAUUGAUAAGUAUUUAAUUAAUAUAUAUAAUACUCCAUAUAAUACUAUAUAAAAAUAUAUAAUUUUUAUAAAUAAAAAUAUAAAUUAGUUUUUCUUAUAGUUGUUUAGUUGAAGAAAAAAAAUAAAAAUUUAUAAAUAAAAAUUAUUUAUAUAUUUUUUCUUAUUUAUAUAUUAUUUAUAUAUAAAAUUAUCAUAUUACAUAUAUUAGUAUUACAAUUUAUAUUUAUAAAUAAAUAUAUUAUAUAUUUAUUAAGUAUGUAAUAUAAUAUAUAAUAGUAUAUAUUUAAUACUAUAAAUAAAUUAUUAUGUAUUUAUAAAUAAUAUUUAUUAUAAAUAUAUUAUAAUAAUAUAUUUAUAUUAAAUAAAAUAUUUUAUAUAUAUAUUAUUAUAUUAAUAUAUAUAUAUAAAGAAGGGGGGAGAGGGAGAGGUCCACCAUGGACACCUCUCUCUCUCUCUCUGUCCACAAGGCAGGGUGUGCCUCGUGGACCGUGCGCGUGUUGCCCCCGCCCUUUCCAAACGUCGCGUUUUUUGGGGCGUAAGUUUUUGUUUUCGCUCGAAAUGAGCAGAAAACGAAAACUCUUCUUUUCCUCUAUAUUCGUAAAAUUAAUUUUUCAAGAAAAAUUUUUUACGGCCAAACAAAUGCAAGAUUUUUAGUUUUCCACCGAAAUUUUUUUUCAAGGUUGUUUUUAUGAUGAAACAAACAACGCACCCUUAGCCAAAAAAAAUUUUCUUCCUAGUUUCUGGAUUGGAAAAAAAUAAAGCAGUUGGUGCACGUUUUUCUUGCUCUAAUAAAGACAGUUAUUAAUUACCUUAAGUCUGGUGCUUUUACAGACUAUAAAAAUAUCUCAUAAAAAUUUCAACAAUUUAUAUACUAAUUACCUCAUGGGACACGCCCAACUAAUUCAUAUUUACCAAUAUACCAAAUAAAUCGCCAAACCAAAUUUAUAGAAGAGAAUUAUUCUCAUUAUCAUAGGCAUCAAGCCUACAUAACAACCACACACGAACCUCUCGCCUGAGCAUAUAUAUUUUUCAGGCUUUAUUUAACAACCACACGCGAACCUCUCGCAUGCGCAUACGAUGUCGGGGCUAACAUAGUAAGGCCACAUUAUUUAACGUACUAAAUGCCACGUACGCGACAAGUACUAUACAUAUCGAGCGCAUGCAUAACGUCGGCCUACGCCGCACCAAAGAGGUAAGGCAUGUCGCCGAGCACCUUUUUCACGAUGUUCUCCGUCCAGUCGUCGGCCUCUGCGCCCUGCUUGGCGAUAUCAUUCAUUAUCUCAUCGGGGUCGUGAUGCAUCGCUUUCAAUUGAUCCGCUGCCGAGGGCCCGGUCGCCAAUAGCUCCACGGUAAAUCCUCCGGAGCUCCCGGCCGUGCUAUCCACCCGAACCAAAGUCGGCCCACCGAACAGAUUGUGCUUGCAUCCCAGUGGCUCCUGGUACGCUCCCGCCAGGAAGGUCCCGAUAUAGUACCCGCCGCCACUUUGUUCCAAGGCAUGGAGGGGGAGAGUCAGGGCCUCGCCAAUGAACUGGUCGAUCUUGCCGUCGCUGUCGCAUGUGAGGUCGAUGAGCGUGCCCUUCUGCGUCGGCUGCUCAUUCAGCCGGUGUAUCGGCAGGAUCGGGAAAAGCUGCUUGAUACCCCAGAAGUCCGGCGUGAGCGAGAAGACCGACAGGUUCGCGUGGUACGAGUAGGUCGUCUCCCCGGCUGCCUCCAGCUGCUUCGCCAGACGCCUGCUGAGCUUGAAGAUCUCGACCCCGUGCUUCUUGAGCUGGUCUGCGUGUGCUCUGGAAGUGUUGUUGUUGCUGUCCCUUGAUCGGACGGCGGAUUUGAGGUUGGCGUGAAGCUUCGUCGGGUUUCCGACGAGCUCGUCCAGGCGGCUGAUUAAUUCGUCGGAUGAGACCGAGUCGCUGGGAUCCUCCACGACCGACAGUGCAUCGUAUAUCAGGAUGGAGUGGUGGGACGCGAGGGCGCGGCCACUCUCGCUGCACAGCACCGGAUGCUGCACACCAUUCUGGUUGCACACGAGCUUCGCAGCCUGCACCACCGCCGACGCAUAUUCUUCAAAGCCGUACGCCACCGACAUGUCUGAGGACCCCGACCGCGUCCCAUCAUAGUCGAUCCCGAGCCCCCCGCCGAUGUCGAGGGUGCCCAUCGGUGCCCCCAUCUUCACCAGGUUGCAGUAGUACCUGUUCAAUACGAAAAUAGUGAAAUACUGCUAUAUAAUAGUUUAAGCUUUUUGAAUAUGAACAGUCAUUUCGCCAUACCCGGAAGCCUCGCGCACUGCACUGCUGAGAAUGGAUGUGGUGGGGAUUUGCGACCCGAUGUGGAAGUGAAGUAGUUUGAGGCAAUCGAGCAUGCCGAGUUGUUCUAGCUUCUUUGCAACGGCAUAGAUUUGGGCCUCCAAAAGCCCGAACUUGCCGUGCUUGCCCGAGGUGGACCCGAAGUGGCCCGGGUUGGUGGUGAGCAGCCUCGCACGGAUGCCGAGCACGGGGCGGAUAUUGAGCUUCUUGCUCGCCGCCACCACCGUGUCGACCUCAUCCUCCAACUCGAGCACGAUGAUUGUGUUGAGUUUGAUGGUGCGCGCCACGAGGGCGAGGGAGAUGUAGUCCAUGUCCUUGUAGCCGUUGCACACCAGGUACGCCUCCGGGCUUCCGUUGAUAAGGCUGUGCAUGGCGAGGAGGAGCUCCGGUUUCGACCCGGCCUCGAGUCCGAAGUUGUAGUAGUGGUCUUCCCCAAAUUUGACCACGUGGCCCUUCCCAAAAUUGACCAGGUUGUCCACUACGUCCUUGUUCUGAUUCACCUGUUCGAUAUGAAAUAGUGUUAUAUACAUCAUUCUUUAGCGACUUAAUUAUUUUUUGAUAUAAUCAGUCAUUUUAUAUACUACCAUUUAAGAAAUAAUUAUGGAGAAAAUAGUUUCUAUUAUACAGGUUCUCCUUCUCUCAUUUAACGAAUUAUAUAUAUAGACUAUCAUUCUAUGUUUUAUAGUCCGAAACGAAAUAAAUAAGAAAAAAUGAUAUCUGAUCAAGCGAGUUAGCUCCUGGUUUAAACUUCUAGAGUAAUUUAUUUGUUCUAAUUGGUGCACCUUCACGGGAAACACCCCCUGAUAGUGGGAGUUGUAGCCCGUAUACUGAAUGGCAUUAAUGAACGCAGUAUAGAGCGAGUCCAAACGGUGCUUUAGCACGUCCGGGAAGCGGAGGAUGAGCGGGAACUGGAGAUUCUUCGCAGUCGCGGCCUUCACCGCUGCGAGGAGAUCAAUCUCCUGCUCAGAGGUGGUCUCAACGCCGUUAGUCUUAACGGAGAUGUUUCCGCUAGAGUUAACGGCGAAGUAAGGGUCGCCCCAUCCCUCAAUAUUGUAGAGGUAACCAUAGUUGGUCGACAUUAUUAAAUGCCUCUCCUCCCUACACGAAGAGUUUGCUAAUAAAAACUAGGCUUUAGUUUCGCAGUGAGUAGUGCAUGAGAGGGGGUGUGUAAGGGAGGGGCCCUUUAUAUAGGCGCGCUCCAAGAUACCACCAGGCGAGAUAAUUUCUCUCCUUUAUUAAUUUUCAACGAUCGAGAUCUCUUCUGUGGAUUUGCUACAGAUUGAACGGACGGGAUCUGUUUAUAGUGCGUUGUGUGGCCUGCGUUCUAUCGUCGGUUUGAUUACAACACCAACGUCCGAUUUGUUCAAGCAAAGUAAUUUUCGGUCAUAGACGAAUAUUAGAGUUGAGCUGGAAUACUGUUAAUAGUAUUUAAAAUUUUUUAUUAUCUAUUUUUAAGUCAUUAGAUUUAUACUUCAAUCAAUUAUACCAUUUAAAUCAUACCAUUCAACUAAUUAGACGCUUAAUGUUAGAGGAACUACCAGUAAACCUUAAUAGACCAUUAUCAUUCUAACCUCACAAUUUUUCAUACAAAAGUUAAAAACUCGAUAACAAUAAAAUCCAAAUACUUUCAAUAAUAUUCCAGACCAAUUCUGAAAACUAUAUGUGAAUCAAAUUUACAAUAAUAUAAUUAAAUUCAAAUUUUGAAUUUUUUAAAUAUCAUUACUUUGACUUCAUCCCACUUGGAGGCGAAAUCAAUUACAGAAAAAAAAUGUGCAAAAAAAUAUAUAGUAAAAGAAAAAAAAAAAGAGAUUUUGUAUAUUAUACUUUGAGUCCGGCUGGGAUACUAUCGAUAGCACCAAAUAUUUGAUGCUAUCAAGUUUUUCACUAUUAGAUUUAAUUCUUUGACUAUUUUCUAGAUUAUCUUAUUCAACCAAUAACUUACUCAACCUUAGAAGAUCCACAUCAUUCUAACCAAAUAUUUUUUUUCACCUAAGGGCCGAAAAUCUAAUAGCAUCAAUAGCUUGGUGCUAUUGAUAACAUUACAGUCUAGGUCCUAUAUUUUAUUGAAUUGCAAUUUAUUAUUUAUUAACUUAUAUAAAAACUAAAAAAAUAUUUUAUAUUUUCAAUUUUUUACCAAACAAAUUGUAGAAUUGAGAGGAUUUUAUUUUCACAAUCAUAAAAAUAAGCAAAAAAAAAAUACUUUUAUUUAAAUUUAAAUUUAAAUUCUACAUCCAUUUAAAAUUCAGCUUGGACGGAACAAACAUGUCUAUAGUAGGAAAAAUUUUAGAAUGCAACAGGUAUAUUAGUGACGUGGCGUAAUAAAUCUAUCAAAUUGCUCUAUUUAGGUGUAUAUAUUCCAUCAUAAUUAUAAAAAAAUAUUUUUAUUAUAUUUUUAUUUAAAAUAAAAAUAUAAUUAAUUUGUUAUUAAUAAUAUGGUGCCAGUAUCACAGUGUAGAAUUCCUCCCCCAGAAGCCGCGCAAUUACACGGAGAAGGAGAAACGAGCAAGGGCGCGCUUUUUACACUUCUGCGCAAUUAUUACAGAAAAGGACAAGGCGCGCGCUUUUUACGUUUUCCGUCACGUGUUUGUGGUCGCGCCACGUCCCUAAAGUGGAUUCCCCCCGCAGAUGUUUACGCGCAUAAAAUAGACGCAUUACUUAACGUUUUGGGCCGUGUUGCUAUUUGGGCCACAUUGUCUGAUGAGAAAAUAAUUACGGUUUGGUUAACCUACAAUGAUAUUAACUAGAUCAACUUCGAUUUGCCGCUUUUCUUAUUAGGUGCUGUUUGGUUCUACGCAAGACUGUAAAAAAAAAAAAAAAAUUGAUGAAAAAAAUUUUCGGAGAAAAUUAUAUUGUGCUUCGUAAUAUUUGGUUUGUAGAAAAUGAAAAAUAAUCUUCAAUCACAUAUUGACCUAGGGAUAUAUUUUUUAGACACUUUUAUAUAAGUGCUUCAUUUAUGUCAAAAUUUUUUUAAAAAAUCUAUUAAGGGCUAAAUAUAAAACUCAAUCCAAUAAAAAAUAAAAAAAUUCUCUACUCAACCAACCACAUUUAGUCAACUCGGCCCGAUUACAAAAAAAAAGAAAAAGAAAAAUUGAUCAACAUCUCUCCCUUCUCCUCCUCCGCCGCCACAACUGACGAGAUAGGGUUCCGACAACUCGAGUUUGGCCGCGAGAAUCUAACAGAGACUAGAGAGGGUUACGAUCACCACGUAUCUUUUCGCCACAGAUCACAGAAAAAGUGGGUGCCAAAUAUCAAGGCGGCCCUAUCUAUACCGACCCCACAUAUAGCAAUAUUUUUAAAAUGUUUCGGUAAUUCAGCCAGCAACACUUUUUAACCUAUACCGAUAUUUAAAAUUGUCGAUAAUUCAGCCAGUAGAUGUUUGGUUGAACGAAAAAGAAAGAAAAAAUAAAUAAAAAAUUAUUAUAUGUAUUUUCUUAUGUUAUAUAUAUUAUAUAUUAUUAACAUAUAAUAAUUAUUACAAUAUAUUUAAUUAUUAUAAUUUAUAUUUAGAAAAAACUUCAAACCCGCUCUAUGGUUUCGCACUUUUUCACUUUAGUACGUUGUGGUUUAAAGUGUAUCAAUUUGGUGUCCUGUGGUUUCAUUUUUAUCUUUUCGGCAGCUUUUCGUUUAUAUUUCGUUAAAUUAUAUACAGAAAACUUCAUAUAUCAAACUAGGUUUCUCGAAUAUUUAUUUUAGCACCCUUUAAUUUUAAUUUUGUUACUGAUUUAAAAAAAUAGUGAAUUGAUAAUAAAAAAAGAAAAAUAAAACCACAUGACGCUAAAUUAAUACACUUUAAACCACAUGAUACUAAAGUGAAAAUGUGCGAAACCACAGGGAAUUUUUUAAAAUUUUUUCUUAUAUUUAUAAAUAAAAUAUUAUAUAAUAGUGUAUUUAUAUAAAAAAUAAAAUAAAACUAUAUAUAUAUAUAUAUAUAUAUAUCAAAGAAGGAGAGAGAGGUCCGAAGCCCACCUCAUGGACCGCGUGCAAAAAGUCAAAUGAGCCCCGUGUAUUCUAUCGUAGUUUUUCGUUUCCGCUCCAUAAACUGAAAUAUUUAGGCGUAUUUGUAAAAAAAAAUUUCGAGAAAAUUUUUUUACGGACAAGCAAACAUCAAAAAAUUAUUUUUCAACUGAAAAUUUAUUUUCAGAGUAAUUUUCUAGAGAACCAAAGACACCCUUAGCGUAUUUUUAUUUUACCAUUCUUUACUUCAAAAGGUUACGCUUAAUUAUUCGUUUAUUUUUUUUAUUUUAUCUAAAAAACUUACCAUCAAAGAGAGUAGUAAAGUGAGAUUUUUAUAGAAUCACAAAGUGACAUCCUAUUUCACGAUAGAUUAUUACAAUAAAAUAAAAAUAAAAUUAUCGAAUGGUUAAAUAUAAUUUUUCAAACUAUAGAAUAAUAAAAUAAAAAUACAUUAAACCAUCGGUAUUAAAUAUAACUUUCUAAACGAUAGGAUGCUGAAGUAAAAAAUGCGCUAAAUUACAAUGGGAUAAAUUAAAGCGUAUCCUUAUUUUCUAUCACAAGAUCAUAUUCGUUGAGUUUGCUAUGAUUUUUAUCUCAUGAUCAUUGUAGCGACUCUCUUUACAUGAAAAUAAAAAAUGCACCACAUAGAAUUUACUUUAAACCACUUAUAUGCCAUAUGAGAUGAUAGAUAGCCUAAAUAGAGAUAAUAGGAUAAUUUUAUAUUAAAAUGAUGCUCUAUACUUUUCUAUAAUAUUGAGGCAUUUGAUCAAAUGGUUGUUGCUAUUCCAAUAUAGAAUAAUUGCGACAAAGCAAACUUUUUUCUAUGGAAAGUCAAUUCUAUGAUUUGACUUAUGUUAUUAAAAGAAUGGUUGCACUAUGUGAUAUUUAAAAGAGCAUUAUAAUUUUUACGAUCUAAAAUGCAUGUAAAUUUUAUACUUUAUUCAUUCAAAGUUUAUUUUAACCUCAGUAGUCUUUUUUUUUUUUAGUAUUAAAAAUUUACAAUGAUUGUUUCAAUUCAUAAGACGGUGGGGGCGCAGAAUUUAUAUACACUCCUAAAGAAGUGUUUAAUUAAGUAGUAUGUCCCUAUUUAAAACAACUAAUAAUGUUUAUUGAAUUUAGUUAAAGUCGAGAAUAAUCAAUAAUUAUUAUUUGAGGAUAAAGCUAUUCGUAUGUACUAUCAAUUGCAAUCAUCAAAUCAAAUAGUAACUUUUUGGUACAAAAAUUAUUUUAGAUUAAUUUAAUUUGAUAACUAAGAAUGAAGAAUGUAUUGAAUAGAAAGUAUCUAGAUUUUUCUUACAACAAGUCAUAUGAGGAACUAACUGCAUCUUACACAGUUAGCUAAAAGCUUAAUAGUUGGUAUCAAAAGUACUAAAUUUGAAGUCUAAUUAUUUCACAUUUUUAAUUUUUUUAAAAAAUAAAUAAAGCGUGUAGCUUGCUACUCCUCUUUCUCUGUCCCUCUCUCUUUCUCUCUCUCUAAAAAAAAAAAGCUUUUUUGUGGUCUUUUCUAAAAGAAUUUAGCUAGAUUUGGACAACCGUGGGGGAGCGGCUUGACUCUUGAGAGUUGAUUUUCAUUUUUUGGGUAAACUUCUAAUUGCCUUCAUGUGUAAUUUUCUUUUUUAUUUUUAUUUUUAUUUUUAUUUUUAAGAGGUAGGUAGCACGCUACCUGCUUCGUUUAUUUCAUUUAGAAAUAAACUUAGCUGGAAAUGUGAAUCAACUAGGAUUUGAACUUGGGUCUCGGGUACCAACCACCAAGCCCUUUGCCAUUUGCUCUAGGGACGUGUAAUUUGCACUUUGUGCUCUGUUAUUAAAAUGUUUCACUUUGCCUUGUUAUGGUUUAGUUCAUUUCAUUUUUUGCAUCUCGUCGUUCAAAAAUUUGGUUUAGCAUAUUGUUUACUUUACUAUCUCGUGGUUUUCAAAUAUUUUACUUUAGCAUUCUAUUUGCCAUUGAUAUUUUUUUGGUAAAGUAAAAUAUUAAAUAGAAAGAGCACAAAGUGCAAAUCUUUCAACCAGGUAAUGUCAAAGUAAAAAAACGCUAUAUCACAUGGUAUAAUUUGAAGUUAUCCGCCUCUUUCCAAAAAUAAACAUCUCUUCCCUUAUUAGUCUUUAAAUCAGUAAUUCGACGGUCAAAUGAAGCAGCAGUUAAGCUAGAUUUUUUUUUCAUUUUUAAUGAAUGGCUACUUUGAUGCAAAAAUUGUUUGCUGUUGAUUAUACAUAAAAAUUGAUUUUAUCGAACCGAUUUAAUUGACCGCAAAUCUCAACGUAAGUAGUACAAAAAAAAAUCUUCAAAAUGACAUAGACUACAUGUUAAUAAACCAAGUCUAGAAUAUACCAGUUAUAUUGAUGAUGUGGCGUGCCUAACUAAUCAAAUUGUUUUCGUUUGGUUCACUCGUUCCAUCAUAAUUAUUUAGAAAAAUAUUUUUAUUCUGUUUUAUUUUUUAAAAUAUAAUUAAUUACUUAUUGAUGUUGUGGUAUAAGUGAUAUAUAGUAGACCUUCAACCUUACCUUAGAAAGGUUAACGACAAGGGCAAAGUUUUGGAAUCUUUCUUUCAAUCGGGAGAAAAGGAAAGAAAAAAAAGCUUAGAAAAUUAUUGAUGUAGAGUUUCUAAAAUAUCACUUUUAUGCAAGGUUAAUAUGUAUGUUAAACCUGUAGUAUACAAAAUUGGCAACAUGCUCUGUCCUAAAUAAAUUUAAUUUUUUUUACAAAUAUUGACACGACAUUUAUUAAUUUUCUCUUAUUGUUAUAGUUAUCUUUCUACCAUAAAUUAAACUUUUGCCUUAAUGAAGUAAUUGCAAGUGUUAGUAUGUUUAUGCUAACACUUGGUUUGUUAGUAUAUGUACAUAAAAACACUUGGUACUUCAAUAGUAUCAAGCAUUAAUUUGAUGCUAUCAAUUUUUUCACUAUUAAAUCUAUUAAUUUAAUCAUGUAAUGAUUUUUAUUUUUUAGAUUAUAUUAUUUUACCAACAAUCACUAAAUUUGAAAUAGACCGCUAUUGUCUCAGCCCUACAAUCUUUUAUUCAAUGACUGAAAAUUUACAAAUGCUAAUAACUUAGUGUUAUUAUAAAUAUUUAAACCUAAUUCUAUAAAGUGAGAAUGAGACUAAAAUACUAUUAAUAGUAAAAAAAAAUAAUAUUUACUGUUAAAAUUUUAUUUCCGAAAUAAUUACUAUUUUAUCUAAAUUUUAUUUAGUUCUGCUUAUUUUAAAAUAAAUAUAAAUAAAAAAAAAACACGUGCUAUGAAAUUUCAGUGGUCCACGAAGUUACCCGCGGUACAUAUAUUAACACACUAACGGUCCGCAUCUUUCAGAUCGAAUUGCAGGGGACAGCUGUUAGACGUCCACGUGUCACCCUCACAAUCAUCAUAGAUUAGCGUUACACCUUAGAUUUUUUUCCAUUUUCGCGUGGUCGUCCAUCCCGGGAUAAAUGAUACAUAGUAUCUUCUAUCAAUCAUAUUUAAACUUAAAAAUUCACUCAAAAUAUAUUUUUAUUAUAUAUAUAUAUAUAUAUAUAUAUUUAAAAAAAGAUGAUGAUAAGAUAUAAGCAAGACUUUUUUUAGAAUACUCAUCUCAUCAUAUUUUUUUUAAAAAAUUAUUAUAGUUAUUUAUAAAGUAAAAAAUUUAACUAGUUUCUGACAGAUAUAAAUAUCAUAUUAGACCAUAUUAUAUAGUAAAAUAAAUAAAUAAAUUGCAACAGUCAUAUAUCUGAAGUGGUCUCCGCGGCCAAAUGUGUAAGGUUCACACAUCACAUUAGAAUUUUUUAAAAAUAUUUUAUUUACAAAAAAAAUAAUUAAUUAAAUAUAAAUGAUAUGAUAUGACAAUCGAAUAAUAAAUUUUCUCGUAUAGCAUGCAGGAUCAAAAACUUUUUGAUGGUUGGGGCCAUCUCUUAUCUACAAAGAUGAAAGGAAAGGUGGAAAAUUAAAGACCACAAUGUACGGAAGUGCAGUAGAUGGACCACUAUUUAUUGUCGUUAAAAUGUAUCUAGAUCCCUCAAUUAUUGGUUAUUUCAAACUCGAGCCCCCAAAACAUGGCAUGAGAUAGCUAAUAAAAAUUCUCUGUAUCAUGUCUAUUAAUGCAUUAAAUAGUUAAAGAUAACAUUUUGGAGAUUUGUAACAAUUGUACUCAACAAGUUUUCUUGUGCUUGACGUCUCAUUGCUAAUUUCUUUUAUUUUCUUUAAACAGCUCUCCAUCGCUCUUAUCAUUUUUUUUGUUUGCUAUUAGUAAUUGAUGGUGGUUAACAAAUUUUUUUAAAAUAAUUUUAAUAUAAUCAAUUUAUUAUUAAAUUAUAAAUGCAUAAAUAGUUUGAAUUAAAAUAAAUAAAAAAAGUGAAAAAUCUGAAGGAUAAUAAUUGGAGCAGCGACUUCAAAAUGGCUUAUGAUUGAGGGGUUCAUGUACAUUUUCACCUAAAUUAUUAUUCCGCGAGAAGUUUCGCUUGAAGUAUAUAAAUGUCGUAUAUGAUAAAGGAUUACGAUGCCGAUUCUUCGAAAAGGACGAGGCUUCCUCCACGUCAAUGUGGCGUUGAAUAAUAUAUAUAUAUAUAUAUAUAUAUAUAUAUAUAUAUAUAUAUAUAGAAUGAUAGUGGUCUCCUGUUAAAUUAAUAAUGGUCCCCUAGGGUUGAGUGGGUGGUUGGUUUAAUAAUAUAAUCUAACAGGUGAAAAUAAUCAAAAGGUAAAUCUAACAUUAAAAAACUCAAUAGUAUCAAGAACUUAGUACUAUCGAUAGUAUAGUAGCCGGGUUUAUAUAUAUAUAUAUAUAUAUUUUACCGUUAGAUCUACUCCUCGGAUCAUUUUCAACCAUUAGAUUAUACCAUUCAACCAACCACCCACUAAAUCCUAGGAGGCCCACAUCAUCUUAACCGCAUAUCUUUUAAUCUAAUGGCUAAAAAUCUACAAGCACUAAUAACUUGGUAUUUUUAAAAACAUAGGAGCUCAAUUAUAUAUAUAUAUAUAUAUAUAUAUAUAGAGCAGUGGUCUCCAAGCAACAGUGAAUGAUCGUUCAAGGAAAAAAAAAAACGUGGCCUAAUUAAUGAGAUAAUAAUGUCACACCAUGUCAGCAAUAUAUAGCUAAUUAAAUAUAUAUUUUUUAACAAAUAAAAUUAAUUAUUAGGGAAUGAGUUAAUUUAAGAGACAGUUGUGAUUGGUAGGGCUACGCGUAGAUAUGUGACCGACAAAGUUUAGAUUUUUUCCAUCAACUAUCAACUUUAUUUUUCCAUUUUAAGCUUACAAUAUAAAUGGUUUUUCCAUAGGUCCUUUUGGCCCAGCUUUAAUUAUAUAUAACAAUUCUUAAAAAUUAUUAAUAUCAAUACCUUUCAAAUUAAAAAAAUAAUCUAAACUAUCCAUAUUACUAAUAUUUCAUUUUAAAUAUGGCUUAAUUACCUCUUUUACUUAUCUUACCCAUUUAAUUGUUGUAAUAUACGUUAUAAUCAAGAAAAUAUGUAUUUAUUAUUAGUACUUUUAUAUAUAGUUUCGCUUUGUUAUCUAACAUGUCUUCAUUUUGAUUAUUUUAGUAUCUUUUAAUUUUUUUUUAUAUAUUUAGUAUAUUUUCAUUUUAUUUGUCUAAUUAUGACCGGAAGAAUUAAAUACUUCGUUUGUUAGAUUUAUUUCUAAACCUUUAGAUUAUUCUAGAUGUAAUUUUAGCUUAGAUUUAUAUUAUUUUACAUUUAUUUCUUAUUUAAUUUUUUUUAUCUUUGAUUUGUUUCGUAUAUACUACUUUGCGUCAACUAAAAAAAAAAAGGCUACACUGAUCGUCCUUAGAAUAAGGGGCAAAGGGCUUGGUGGUUGGUAUUUGAGAUCCCAAGUUCGAAUCCUAGUUGAUUCACAUUUUCAGCUAAAUUAUUUCUAAAUGAAAUAAACGAAGCGAGUAGUGUGCUACGUAUCUCUCCAAAAAAAAAAAAGAAAAAAAAGGCUAUUCUAAGUGAUGUUAAUUAAUUAUUGUGAGGGUUAACAUGAUAACAUAAUUAGGUUAUAGGGAUACACGUUUGUGAUACUUUUGUGUAAAUGUCCCAUUUAUAUCAAAACUUAAAAAAAUCUACUUUUGCCAAACUAUAAAACUCAAUCCAACCAAAAAUAAAAGGUUACUCUACUCAACCCACCCCACCUAGUCCAUUCGGCCCGAUUACAAACAUAAAAGAAAAAAAAAAAGGAAAAAUCGAUUAUUAUUUCCCCUUCUCCCCUCACUCAAUUCACUGAAAUCCUAAACAAAGAGCCCUUUCCUCUCCUCCUCCUCCGCCAUAGCAACCAAUGAGGUAGAGUUCCGGCGGUUGCUAAAUAUUUAAAUAAAUUUUGGUAAAUUAGCAUUACUCUUUUUAAUUUAUAGCGACACUUUUUAAUUGUCACUAUAUACCUAGCGACUCCACAUAUAACAACAUUUUUUAAAAUGGUCGGUAAUUUAGCCAGCAUCACUUUUUUUGACCUGUACCGAUAUUUAAAAGUGUCGCUAUAGACCAUUUUUUUUGUCGUGAGUAGGUCAUUUUAUAGUUAAACUUAAGCAAAACUGACAAAAUGAAAAUUUAAGAUAUAAUCUAUGUAUAUAUAGGAGUAAUAUUAAUAUUGACGGCUUUAAAGGAGUAUCUUUAUUACUUCUUAAAUUUUGAGGGACACAUCUGAAAUUGCUCCCAUAACAAAAAGAAAUAAGUAAGUAAUAUUUACAUAUUUUCAAGGUUAACGAAAUUUGGUUGAUGAAUCAAAUCUGAGACAUGCAUGGUAUUUGAAUAGGAUGCCAAGUUAUAGAUAUUUUAAUAUAGAAAUGUAAUGCAUGGUUACUAGAUGAAACAUCCUUCGAUUGAGAGUACUACAGUUCUAACCAUCAAGCAUAAGUGCUUAGUGAUAUCCAAACAAAUGACUGAUAACAUAACUUGGCAACUUAGUGCCAGAAAGAAAAUUUGGUGGAAACGAUUACUAACAUGAUGCUAUAUUAUACAGUAUUCAUACAAUUUUGAGAUUCGUGUUAUUCACACUAUAAAUGAUAAAUGAAAUGAUUUUACUUUGGAGACAGUCCUAAUCGUACAAAUUUUUGUUCUCCAUAACGCUUUGGAUGUGCUGUUUUGUUCAUACUUUGAUAUUUUGCCUAGUGAAUGCGGCUAGUUGGGAUUUGCAGCUUAGCAUCUCGACUUGUUUUCUAAAAAACCACCCCUUCCUGAGUAAUAUAUAUUAUAUUACUUAUGCAAAGUCUAGAGAUACAGUCUGUUUGGCCUAGCUUUCGAGAUUUAUUUUUACUGAAGUGAUUUUGAUUUACUGAAUUGAUUUUGAUUUACUAUAGAGCAUUUGACAGUCAAAAAGGAAAGCAAUUUUUUUGAAAUAAUUUUAUAACAUAGCUAGCAAUAAUGGAACUAACAUAAGGGCCAUAAUUUACCACUCUCUCUUCGGCCUAGCCCGACCUAUGUGUCAAAAGACUCAAAACCAGUUCAUGGCGACCCAUUUGGACCGUCACAUUCCAAACUUGAAUGGUUGAACUACAAUCUGCACAAUAUAAUGUUAGGUUGUAUGUGCCACAUUGCACAAAUUAUAUGUUACUUGACUCGUCGAAUUGUCACUUGUAAUUUAGAGUAGGAACCCUAAUCAAAAUGAUACGAUUUUCGCAAAAAUUGUGGAGAACUUAGCAACCUAAAAUGAUUGAAAUUUUGGAACUUAAUUACUUUUAUCGCUGGGACCAUCUUAUCUACAAAGACCGAAGGAAGGGUAGGAAAUUUGAGACCACAAUGUACAGAAGAUAAAUGCCGCGUGGCAUUGUAGUAGAUGGACCACUAUUUAUUAAUUAUUUUUUUUUAAAAAAAAUAUAGUAUGCUACCUAUUUUAUUCAUUUAGCAAAUAAAUUUGACAAUGAAGAUUGAAGCAACGCUGCCUCGAAAAAUAUUAAAGGUGACCAAAUCAGAAAAUACAAAUAAAAGCAAACAAAAAAAAUCAUAGAAAAAUUGCUAAUUCGAAAAAAUUUAUUGAGAUCGCUCACUUAUUGGUUAUUCCAACCGAGAACCCUCAAAACAUGACAUGAGCAGCUAACCAAAAAUCUCUUAAUCACAUAUAUUAAUGCAUUAAAUAGUUAAAGAAAAUAUUUUGAAGAUUUGUAACAACAGUGCUCAACUAUUUCCCUUCCUAUCGACGACUCAUUGUUGGAAUUAAUUUCUUUUGUGCUUUUGCUAUUAGUAAUUGAGGGGUAACAAAAUAUACAUUUCAUUAGCUAAAAUAGCAUUUAAAAUAAUUCAAACUUAAUCAAUUUAUUAUUAAAUUAUAAAUACAUCUCCAACUUAAAUGAUUAAAAUAGUUUAAAGAAUUUAAAUAAAAAAAAACUACAAAUCUGAAGAGUAAUAAUUGGAGCAGGGACUUUAAAUUAAAUUGCUUAUGAUUGAGGGGUUCAUGUACAUUUUCACCUAAAUUAUUAUACCGCGUGAUGUUUCGCUCGACGUAUAUAUAUAAAUGUCGUAUAUGAUAAAGGAUUACGAUGCCUAUUCUUCGAAAAUAAAGGACGAUGCUUCCUCCACGUCAAUGUGGCGUUGAAUUAAUAUCCAUAAAUGUACAGCAGUGGUCUCAAUGCAACAGUGAAUGACGUUCAAGGAAAAAUAAAACGUGGCCUAAUCAAUGAAAUAAUGUCACACCACGUCAAUAUAUAAUGAAUUAAAUAUAUUUUUAAAAAUAAGAACAUAAUAAAGAUUCUUUUUUAUUAAUCAUUAUGGAACGAGUUAAUUUUAGGACUAUAUGGUUUAGAAUUUUUGCAUCAACUACUCACUUUUUUUAUUUUAAUGAAACUCUUCUAACUUCUUUUUUUUUUUUCCAUUUUAAGCUUACAAUAUAAAUGGUUUUUCCAUAGGUCUUUUUUGCCCUCUCAUUAUAUAAUAAUUCUUAAAAAUUAUUAAUAUCAAAAAUACCUUUCAAAUUAAAAAAAUUGUGGAAACUAUCCAUAUUACUAAUAUUUCAUCCAAAUAUGGCUUAAGCACUUGUUUUACUCCUCUUACCCAUUCAAUUAUUGUAAUAUAUAUAUUAUGACCAAGAUAAUAUGUAUUUAUUAUUUGUACAUUUCUGAUGUAGCUUUGUUAUCUAACAUGUCUAAUGAAAAACAUUUUGGUUUAUUUAGUAUUUUUUAAGUUUUUACACAUUAUAUUUUUAUUUUAUUUGUCUUAUUAUGACUGGAAGAAUUAAAUACUUGUUUGUUAGAUUUAUUUCUAAAUCUUUAGCUUAGAUUUAUAUUACUUUACAUUUAUUUCUUACUUUCUUAAUUCUUUGAUUAUUUUCGUAUAUACUACUUUGCAUCAACUAAAUAAAAAGGUUAUCCAGACUAAUGUAAAUUAAAUCAAAAGUUACAAGUCAUAUGUUUUUUUUGAGAGAUGUUACAAGUCAUAUGUUAAUUGAUUAUUGUGAAGGGUUGUUAGUUUUAGGAUUUGAUUAGAUUUAUAGUUAAUUUUUUAGUUAGAUAAAAAUUAAUAUUUAAAUUUAUUGGAGAUAAAUUAAGAUUUAAAUAUUAAUUAUAGUAUAAAUUUAUUUAGAUUAGAAUAAAUAUUUAAAUUUAUUAAAAAUAAACUAAAUAUAAAUUUACAUAUUUAUUGGAGGAGGAUUCCUAAUAUACUAAGAUUGAGCUACGCUUUCUUUUUUUUUUUUUGAGAAAGAGGUAGCACGCUACCCGCUUCAUUCAUUAAAUAAAUGAAUUAAGCUACAGGAGUGGGACAUCCAGGCCCCGGAGGAAAAAAAAAAAAAAAAAAACCCACAGGGUUAAGGGUUUAAGGUUUAGGAUUUAGGAUCGAGUCCCACUCUUUCAGAAGAAGCUUGAGCCUGUUAACCUCUAGCAAAGGGUCCGGAAGAAUGUUUCUAAAAAUAGUGUUGUUUCUGACCUUCCAAAUAAUCCACCAAUGGCCUAUAAGGUCGGUAAGCUUGGUUCGCUUCUUUUGGAGGUCCGUUCUGGCCAUCCACCAAUCCCAAACGAGGUUCACGCCAUCCCCCAGGUCUUGGACCACGAUAUCAUCCACCCCUACCACUAUGAUAUACUUGCUGAAGACGCACAGGGUGAACAAGUGGUCCACUAUUUCCAUGUCCGAUCCACAUAGCACACAGGUAGGGUCGUCAAUCCAACCUCUAUUAAGAUUGAGCUACGCAUUAGUUGAAGAGAGUACAGCCAAGUAGAAGUCCUUGGGAGUUGUACGGGUGAGGUGUAUUGAUCUUGGGUGUCCGUACCACACAGAGGGAGCUUAGGCUAUGGUUGCAUGCACCUAGUGCAUAGGUGUAUAUAAUAGAGAAAAUGAUAGAGUAGUCUUUAAGAGAGCUUGGGUUUGAAGCUACUCUGAUACAGAGGAGAAUUCAGAUAUAAUCUUCUCUUAUAUAGUGAAUUUUAUUUUAUCUACAUAUUUUUUGUUGGUUUUCUCUUGUUUAUAAUUGUAUCAGUUUUUGCUAAAGAGGGGAUUUAUGAUAGAAAUUCGAUUUGACGCUUCCGUUGCGGAAUUCCAACAAUUGAUACCGGAUCAAUAAUAGUCAGUAUCGGAGCGGGUUGCGGAUUCUUAAAAUCUGGUAUCAGGACGAGUAUCGGAUUUCCAAUAAUUAGGUUAUUUUAUAAUUAAGUAAACUUAAGCAAAACUGAUGAAAAAAAAUUUACGACAUAAUCUAUGUAAAUAUAGGAGUAAUAUUAAUAUUGACGGCUUUAAAAGAGUAUCGAUAAUAUUUUUAAAUAUUGAGGGGCAUGAUUUGAAAUUGCUCCAAUAAUAAUAAAAAAAAAAUAAUUAGAUAAUAUUUUACAUAUAUCGAAGGUUAACGAACUUUAGUUGACGAAUCAAAUCUGACACAUUCAUGUUAUUUGAAUAGGAUGCCAAGUUAUAGAUAUUUUAAUGUAGAACGUAAUGGUUACUAGAUGAAGCAUCCUUCGAAUCAGAGUACUACAGUGCUAACCAUCAAGCACAAGUACGCUUACUGAGAUCCAAACAAAUGGUUGAUAAUAUCACUUGACAACUUAGCACCAGAAACAAAAUUUGGAGGAAACAAUUACUAACAUAAUACAAUCCUUUAUAACGUUCAUACAAUUUUGAGGUUUGUGUCAUUUACACUAUAAAUGACAAAUAAAACGGUCUUGCUUUGGAGACAGUUCUAAUCGUACAAAUUUUUGUUUCUCAUAACGCUCUGGAUGUGCUAUUCAUACUUUGAUACUUUGCCGAGUGAAUGCGGCUAGCUGGAAUUUGCAACUUUGCAUCUCCACUUGUUUUCUAAAAAACCAUCCCUUCUCGAGUAAUAUAUAUUAUAUUACUUAUGCAAAGUCUAGAGAUAUAGAGUCUAUUUGGCCUAACUUUCGAGAUAUUAUUUUUACUGAAGUGAUUUUGAUUUACUCUAGAGCAUUUGACAGUCGGAAAGAAAAGUAAUUUUUUUAAAAUAAUUUUAUAACAUAGCUAGCAAUAAUGGAACUAACAUACGGGCCAUAAUUUACCACUCUCUCUUCGGCCUAGCCCGACCUAUGUGUCAAAACCAGUUCAUGGCGGUCCAUUUGGGCCGUCACAUUCCACACUUUGAAUGGUUGAACUACAACCUACACAAUAUAAUGUUAGGUUGUAUGUGCCACAUUGCACAAAUUAUAUGUUACUUGACUCGUCGAAUUGGGAAUGGAUUGUCACUCGUCGAAUUGGGAAUGGACUCGUAGGAACCCUAAUCAAAAUGAUACAAUUUUUGCGAAAAUUGAGGAGAACUCGGCAGUUCAGAGGAUUGAGAUUGCUGCAAACGUAUGGCUCUACUGUUUUGUUUCAGAUCAGGGGUUCUAGUGCAUAUAACUAAUGUGAUUCUUUUCUCUUAACAUUUAAUGAAUUUUUGUAAUAUUUUUUAUAUUAUUUGUUCAUUAAUCGCAAAUUUCUGCUUUCUUUUUCAUACAUGUAUUAGAAAAUUUUGGUUGCAUGCAAUACCAAGUCUACAUGCCCAACCAUAUUCCUUGUAGACGUAAUGAAUGCGCACAUACGACACCAAACGAUAAUUAUUAAUGUUAAACAAUGUUUUCUAUACAUUUAUUAUAAAAUAGGAAAAACUUAAAAAACCUCCAUGUAGUUUCACACGUUUAAAGUGUAUCAAGUUAGUACCCUAUGGUUUCUCACUUUAUCACUUUAGUACCAUGUGGUUUAAAGUGGAUCAAGUUAGUACCCUGUGGUUUUGCACUUAGUAUCCUGUGGUUUUACACUAUCACUUUAGUAUCGUAUGAUUUAAAAAAUCACAUGGUACUAACUUGAUACAAAAUUAAAACCAUAGGGUACUAAAGUGAUAAAGUGCAAAACCACAGGGUACUAAUUUGAUACACUUUAAACCAUAGGGUACUAAAGUGAUAAAGUAAGAAACCAUAGAGUACUAAUUAACUUGAUACAUUUUAAACCACAUGGUAUUAAAGUGAAAAAAAUUAAAACCACAAGAGGGGUUUUUGAAGUUUUUCUUAUAAAAUAAGUGUAAGAUGUACUUUCUGGUCUUUCUUUGGCUAAAAUUUAAUUAUCAAUUAAUCUUAUCAACUCUUUUUUUUUUUUUUUUUUGCUUAAUAUGCUAAAAACACCUUCAUCUGAGGUUUAAAGACUUUUUAGAUGCAAGGGCACAAAAUGUACACACUUAUAUGAAAUAUACCACUAAAAUUUUUCUUUUUGUAAAUUUAUGAUUCUAAAUAUUAAAAUUUUGUAUUUUUAUUAACGUGUGUGAUUUUUAUAUAGCCAUCUAUAUCUAUAUAAAUCUAUGAAAGGGCAACCGGUACGCCGCUCUCUCCGCAUUCGGCGGGUUCCGUUGACGGCACGUGAGGAGAGCUGGCGGGGCUCACCGUGGCUCCUGCACGCGGUCCACGACUCAUGGUGGACCGGGUGAGGGAGGGGGUAGUGGACUCCGGCUGUGGGAGAGGGGGUGGUGGGCCCCUCUCUCCCUUUUCGAUCGCGCGUGUGUGUGUGUGUAUAUAUAAAUCUUGGAAUUUUAGCUUUUAUUUUUUUAGAUUUACUUUUGGACGUUAGAUUUAAUUUUUUUAAUCUAAUACAAUGCCGCUUAGGAUUAAUUAUCUUAUUAUGUUAUCAUCUAUUUAGUUUCCUUUUUAAAUUUUCGUAUCUCUUGAUGUCAUCGCAAUAAAUUACUUAAAAUUAAUCCAUCUUAAUUUACAAAAUUUCAUAGUUGAAAAAAAUUAAAUUAAAAACGGUAACUAAUUUGGAACCUAAAAAGAACCUCCCCUUAUUUUGGGGGAUUGUGGUGCCCAUAUCAAUUUUUUAAAAAAUUAAUUGCAGAUUGGGUCUCAAUCUUUUCACGCUAUUUUAUUUUGGUUGCUAAUCUCUCACUACAACAAAAAUGGUCUAUAGCGACACUUUUAAAUAUAGGUAUAUGUCAAAAAAGUGCUGCUAGCUAAAAUUACCGACACUUUUAAAAAGUGUUGCUAUAUGUGGGGUCGCUAGGUAUAUAGUGACAGUUAAAGAGUGUCGCUAUAACCUAAAAGAGUGCUGUUAAUUUAUCAACACUUAUUUAAGUAUUUAGCAACCGCCAAAACUCUACCUCGUUGGCUACGGUGGCGGAGGAGGACGACAGGAAAGGCUCUUCGUCUAAAAUUUCAGUGGAUUGAAUGAAGAGAGAAGAAAAGAUGGUAAUUGAUUUUUCUUUUUUUUUUCUUUUCUGUUUGUAAUCGGGCCAAAUAGACUGGGUGUGGUGGGUUGAGUAGAGUAAUCUUUUAUUUUUGGUUAGAUUAGGCUUUAUAUUUAGACAGUAGUAAAUGUUUUUUUAAGUUUUAGAAUAAAUGGGACACUUACUCAAAAGUGUCCCAAACAUGUGUCCCUAUAACCUAAUUCUGUUGUAGUGAUCCUACCUCCGAAGAUUUAAAUUUUCUUUAAAAUUUUAAUAUUAAAAAAAUUAGGACUAGUGAAGAAAAGUUAACUCUUGGAAGAUAAAGAUGUAGCAUUGGAUUAAAAUCUCAUUUGGAUUGUAGUAUGGCUUUGAUCAAAAUGAAAAGGGAUUGACUCAACUCUUAAAUGGAGGUCCGUAGAAUUUUAAUCCUUUUUAGAUUGCGGACUUAAAUAUUUCUCUUUCAAGAUCAUUCUCAAUGUCUCAAUCUUACUAUCCAUCAGUGUGUGUGUGUUACUAGUGUGUGUGCGCGCGCGCGCGCGCGCGUGUAUUUCAUAAAAUCCCUCGCGAACCUUUUUCAAUGAAUCUAAACAUAGUUUCAUCCUUAUAAGCCGCGUAUCCACAUCUCUAUAGCUUGAUUAGAGUUGUGCCCCUCUAACAUCACUCGAGGCUAUAUAGUCCUGAUGUUGUACACUGACAAAUUUUAUAUGCCUCCCAACAUUUUGAAAGAUAAAACAAAUAUAAUAAAAAGACAAAAUCUAAAUAGAAUACUCUUUAAUUUUCUAAAAUUUGUUCUAGCAAAAUGUUUAUUAAGAAAAAGAUUUACCUAAAAUCAUAUAAAGAUGGAAACACUACAACAGAAUUAGGUUAUAGAGACACAUAUUUGGGACACUUUUGAAUAAGUGUCUUAUUUAUCCUAAAACUUAAAAAAAUAUCUACUAAUGCCUAAAUAUAAAGCCCAAUCCAACCAAAAAUAAAAGAUUACUCUACUCAACCCACCACACCUAGUCCAUUUGGCCCGAUUACAAACAAAAAAGAAAAUAAAAAGAAAAAUCAAUUAUCAUCUUUUCUUCUCUCUUCACUCAAUCCACUGAAAUUCUAGACGAAGAGCCUUUCCUGUCGUCCUCCUCCGCCACCGCAGCCAACGAGAUAGAGUUUCGGCGGUUGCUAAAUGCUUAAAUAAGUGUUGGUAAAUUAGCAGCACUCUUUUAGGUCAUAGCGACACUCUUUAACUGUCACUAUAUAUCUAGCGACCCCACAUAUAGCAACACUUUUUAAAAGUGUCGAUAAUUUUAGCUAGCAGCACUUUUUUGACAUGUACCUACAUUUAAAAGUGUCGCUAUAGACCGUUUUUGUUGUAGUGGAUCAAAAUCCUUAAAUCAAGGAUUAUAAUUGUACAAUCCUUUUUGGAGUAUUUCUCUUGGAUUUUAUAUUAAAAAAAGGAUUAAAAACAAGUUGAUAGCACAAAUAUACAAAGCUAUUAAUUGGAUGGUACAAGCAGUAAAAUUACAACACAUUUUGGGUUGAAGGGGUAGUAAAAUUACAAAGUUAGGAAGUACCAGGCCAAUCGUAUCUCGACAACACAUUUCUACAACUGUGCUACAACUAUACUCAGAACUAACUAUGUUGGACUUAAUUGCUUCAUGGAUGAGACAAUUCAAGAGGAGGUAGGUAUUUGUCACUAUCAAAAAUACACCACCGAUCGAUAAAUUAUUUCUACUAGUUAAAGACCAAUAAUAAAUGGACUAAACAAAUUUGGUAAUACUAGGAAAAGUAAAUUAUUAUGGAAUCAAGUUGAAACUUAUUAUUUGUUCAACAACAUAAAUUUGUUUCCACCAUUGUCCCUCUUUAAUUAUGUUGGUACCUCAUGUUUACUUAUGAGUGCAGCAAUUAAUAUAACUAACUGUAGGUUUUACAUCAGCAUGCACAACUGAUGCGAUGUUUUCUAACGAUCAGUUUUUUUUUUAAUUUAUUCAUUUUAUUAUAAUUAUUAAAAAAUAUUAUUAUUAUUAUUAUUUUAAAAAAUAUAAUUAAUUAAUUAUUAAUUAUUUGAUAUAAGUGUGAAAUAAUAAAUUUUCUCUCUUCGACGAGAGGAAUAUCAAUAAAUAUGACACGAAAUAUGUAACUAUGUAAGGUCCAAAGGCAUUUAUUUGCUUGGAAUAUGUGGUGAUUUUAUUAUAGGAUAAAUUAUCAUAGCGCAUCCACUUGCCAGUUGCCACGUCCCAUGCAUCUUUGGAUUUUCGUUGUUCAAAAAAAAUAUGUUUUACAAUUUAAAAAUUGAACGAAUAAAAUUGAAAAUAUGAGAUAAAAAUUAUGGAUAAAUGAGGAUCUGCGUAAAAAUGUAAGAUGCAUCGAUCCCAUACGAACAAUAACUUCUCGCAAAGAAUCACCUUCCUUUGUCCUCCUAAUUUUAAUUUUUAUGUUUAAAUUUAAGGAGAAAAUAUUUGAACUUAUAUUGCAAGAAACAGUUGAAUUUUCUGCUUGAAAGCUUUAGUUAUUGAAAAAACAAUUAUUUGUAUUAUUGUAUAAUUAUAAUUUACUAGAUCAAAAGUCUCCAUAUAUUGUUCAAAAGUAUGCGCGUACGCAGAACUUCUUUAAACAUCACUUCGAUAUAAAAUUAUCAUGCACUAAUUAAAUCUUUUGUUAUUUCACAUGGCGUAGUAUAAUUACUUUGAAAUAUAUGGUUAAAUGGUACAACAAAAACUUUCUUUUUUGCAGUAGUGGACUCGGCAUUAACCAUCUCUUUUUAAUUGAAAGCUUUUUCCUAUAGUCAGGUAACUAUUGGUUGGUCAUAAAUUUUUUGUUUCUUGUUUUGUGUAGGUCAUAAAUGAAGUUGAUGGAGUACGUUUCUCUCGUGCCACUAAAGAAUAUUGUUAUCUUUAUUUCCAGUACUUCCACAAAUUUUGCAGUAAGAAAUGUUACUUGCACAUUCAACUUUUAAGCGUAUAUCUUAUAUAUUAAUUCACAGUUCAAAGCAGAGACGGAGCCAGAAAUCAAAUCUUUGGGGGGCCAAAAUUUGGGUUUAGCAAAAAAACAGCCGAUCUCGGAUAGUUAUAAAAGAGUUUGCCAAAUUCACUGAUCAUCUAUUGCUAGCGACAACAACAAUAAUAUGUUUAAAGAGGAGCAUAACUAUAAAAACUGAAGGAAAAAAAACCGAGGGGUUUGGAAAAAGAUUAAGACACGAGUUUUAUUAAAAAAAAAUAAUAAUUUGGCUCUUCUAAAAAUAAAAUUUAUAAUAUUUUAAUUUUUAUUAUAACAGACUUAUAUAUAAUUUAAAAGUUGAGGGAGCCAUAGCCAUUGUAAGUCCCAGUAUUAUUCCGUCCCUAGUUCAAAGGUUCAUAAUAUUCUUUUUGAACUUAAAUAUUAAAUAUAUAAAAGUGUUGGCUCUUGGAUGGUAAGAAUAUAAGAUAUAAAUUCACUUUUAAAUAUAUCUAAUUGGACUGGGCUACUAUUAGUAGCAAAAUUUUAUUGUUGCUAUCAGUUUUUUAGCCUUUGGAUCAACUCUUUUCAUUAUUUCUAACCAUUGGAUUAAAUACUAUAACCCAGUGGGGACCACUCAAUCCUAGAGGGACCACUCAACUCUAACCGACUAAUAUCAUCCUGACCCUAUAAUUUUUCAUCCGAAGGUUAAAUAUUUGAUAGCAAAAAAAGUGUUUUACUAUUAAUAGUAUUCGAGCCUAAUUCUAGAUAUAUCCACACAAACUGAUGAUCGUUGGUCAAGAAAAAGGUCCAAUGUAUGUGCAGCGAUAUAUAAGUUGUGUGAUAAUAAUUUAAAUGUAAUUUAAAGUAAUUUGCAUUUUUUUUUUUUUAAACUUAUGUAUAUACCAAUUGUCUCAUAGUAUCAGAAAAAUUGGCAAACCAACUUCUCAUUCUCAAAGGCAUACACGAGCCUCUCAUCAACCACAUUUUCCCAGACAUUGUGUAAAGAGAGUGGGAGGGGGAAAAAAAGAAAAAAAAAAACGACAUGCAUGAACACACGAAAGUCGGGCCUAACACGACAAGGCCACUUUAUUUAAACACACUAAAUUAACACCGCGUAGGUAACACGUCCUGCAGAUCGCAUGCAUAACGCCGAUCGACCUACAGCUCACCGAAGAGGUAAGGCAUAGUGCCGAACACCUUAGUUACGAGCGUCUGCUCCGUCUCCGUCCAGUGCCCGGUCUCUUUCGCCCGGUCGGCGAUCACCUUCGCCAUCUCAGCGGGGUCGUAAUGCAUCGAUUGCAAUUGAUUCGCGGCGGUGGGCCCGGCCCCAACGAACGCCACGGUGAAUCCCCCGGCACUCCCGGCGCUCUCCACCUGAACCAAGUUCGGCCCGCCGAACAGGUUGUGCUUGUUCCCCAGCGCCUCCUGGUACGCCCCCGCCAGGAACGUGCCGAUGUAGUACCCGCCGCCGCUUUGUUUUACGUCGUGCAGGGGGAGAGUCUGGGCCCCGCCGAUGAACAGGUCGACCUUGCCGUCGCUGUCGCACGUGAGGUCGAGGAGCGUGCCCUUCUGUGUCGGCUUCUCCUGCAGCCGGUGUAUCGGCAUGAUCGGGAACAGCUGCUUGAUCCCCCAGAAGUCCGGCGUGAGCGAGAAGACCGACAGGUUCAUGUGGUACGCGAAGGUCUUCUCCCCGGCCGCCUCCAACUGCUUCGCCAGGCGUCUGCUGAGCUUGAAGAUCUCGACCCCGUGCUUCUUGAGCUGGUCCGCGUGGACUAAGGAGGCGUCAUUGUUGCUGCCGUCCCUCGAUCGGACGGCGGAUUUCAGGUUGGCGUGAAGGGUCGUCGGGUUUCCGACGAGAUCGUCGAGGCGGCUGAUUAAUUCGUCGGAUGUGAGCGAGUCGCUGGGUUCCUCCACGGCCACCAGUGCAUCGUAUAUCAGGAUCGACUGGUGCGACACGAGGGCGCGGCCGCUCUCGCUGCACAGCACCGGGUGCGCCACGGCCUUCUGGUUGCACACGAGCCUCGCCGCCUGCACCACCGUCGACGCGUACUCCUCGAAGCCGUACGCCACCGACAUGUCCGACUCACCGGACCGCGUCCCGUCGUAGUCGAUCCCGAGCCCCCCGCCGACGUCCAGGGUGCCCAUCGGCGCCCCCAUCUGCACCAGGUUGCAGUAGUACCUGUUGUUCAAUGUAUAAAUAUUAUUAAAAAUGCUGCAAUAUAUAUAUAGUAGUUUACGCUUUUUGGAGAUCAACAUUAAUUGAUUUCACCAUACCCGGUAGCCUCGCGCACUGCGCUGCCGAUGAUGGAUGUGGUCGGGAUCUGCGACCCGAUAUGAAAGUGGAGUAGUUUGAGGCAAUCGAGCAUGUUAUUUUCUUUAAGCGUCUCUGCGACGGCGUAGAUUUGGUCCUCCAAGAGGCCGAACUUGCCGUGCUUGCCCGAGGUGGACCCAAAGUGGCCGGGGUUGGUGGUGAGCAGCCUCGCACGGAUGCCGAGCACGGGGCGGAUAUUGAGCUUCUUGCUCGCCGCCACCACCGUGUCGACCUCAUCCUCCAACUCGAGCACGAUGAUUGUGUUGAGAUCGAAGUUGCGUGACACGAGGGCGAGGGAGACGUAGUCCAUGUCCUUGUAGCCGUUGCACACCAGGUACGCCUUCGGGCUUCCGUUGAUAAGGCUGUUCAUGGCGAGAAGGAGCUCCGGCUUCGACCCGGCCUCCAGCCCGAAGUUGUAGUCCUUCCCUAAACUGAUCAGCUUGUCCACCACGUCCCUGUUCUGAUUUACCUGUUAAAUACAAAAUGUCAGACACAUACAACGUUCUUUUGCGCGCUAAUUUUUUAACGUAACCAGUCAUUUUGCUUGCAUCAUAUCAAUGCUGACCUCUUCUUACCUAAUAAUUAUUGAAAAAAACAAUAGUUGUUAAUUACUUCAUAAUUUAUUUACUUUUUUUAAUUUAAUGCAUGAACUGGAAAGUGUAUGAGGUCACUACUCUGAGACUCUCAGUUGUAUAUUACGGGAAACACCCCUUGAUAGUAGGAGGUGUAAGCGGUAUACUUAAUGGCGUUCGCGAAGGCCGUAUGGAGCGAGUCCAAACGGUGCUUGAGCACGNAAAAAAAAAAAAAAAAAAUCCGACCGAGCCAGUAAUUAAGCUCCUGAUCGAUUCAAACUUCUAAAAGUAAGCUACUAUAUAUUUCAAAUUGGUGCACCUUUACGGGAAACACCCCUUGAUAGUAGGAGGUGUAAGCGGUAUACUUAAUGGCGUUCGCGAAGGCCGUAUGGAGCGAGUCCAAACGGUGCUUGAGCACGUCGGGGAAGCGGAGAAUGAUCGGAAACUGGAGACCCCCCUCAGUCGCCUUCUUCACCGCAGCGAGGAGGUCAAUCGCCUCCUCAGAGGUGGUCUCAACGCCGUUAAUCAUAACGGAGAUGUUGCCGCUGGAGUUAACGACGAAGUAAGGUUCGCCCCAUCCCGCAAUAUUGUAGAGGUAACCAAAGUUGGUCGACAUUAUUAUCUCUCCUCCCUACACAAAGAGUU
rnacentral:lncRNA from 1 species